rnacentral:lncRNA from 1 species
AAGGGGACGAUGAGCAAACUACAAGGACUAAAAGGGUGCAUCAAAGCAUAAAACCCAUGGAGGCGACGAUCUUGGGGAGAGAAAGAAGCAUCGCAAGCACGACUAUCAGUUCAAUGUAAACAAAUACAAAAAACCAGUCCCCAAUUUGAUCAGGCUCGCCCCCUCCACGAAUCAUCUAAGGGGGCGAUAUAUAUCGAAUGUAAGACAACGCAAAUGGAAAAGGCAUUGUUUAUUACAGGCCUAAAAUACCAUUCACGCUCCGACACAGGCAUCCUCCUCUCCCUUCGUUAUUCCAAGCUUCUGGGCAUGAGACCUUCAAGUGUGGUGUUGUUCUUUGGCAUCAACGAUGACAGAACCUCGCAGAGUGUGCUGAUCUUACAGUCUCUUGUCUGCAGCAAUGAUGCUUGUAGAUCUUCCCGGCAGAAGCACUUGUGCCGACUUGACUGGUGGCAUAGCAUGGUGUUGACGCUUGAGGAAGGCUACCAUCUUGGUGCUCUGCGGGAGGAGGGUGGUUCGUCUUCUUAUAGUUUACGCCGGGUGGUCAUGUAUUGAACGGCACUAGAGCAAGCCGCUCAUGGGCCCAAUACAGAGAAGAAGGCCAAACAAAGAACAAGAAGGGAGGAACAAACCAUAAGCUGAAGCGGUCCAACCAGCUAGAAAGUUGCAGAUUUAAAUCUUACCGACAAAUGACAUCGUACUAAAGUUAGAUCUUUGAUCGUGCUGAUAUCAUCACAAAUGGUUUUUUUCUUGACUUGCUAAACCUAAAAUAUUUGUACAAUCUUUUGAUUGUCAACUUUGUUCCAUCCAUAAAGCAAAAAAAGAAAUUAUCUCUUGACUAGCAUAAGGCAUGUGCCUUGCUAUGGAACAACAAAUAAUUGAAGUUGUAUUAAAUUAGCGGCAUACAACAGCCAAUCGACUUGCAACGCUGCAAAGAAAAACUCAAACAAGCAAGCGGCACCGCACUUACGUAGUUGCACAGUCAUGGGAGCACUGACGUCUACUUAUUAAAAGACUUCUCAUUCAAAACAAAGUGAGUUUGUCGCUUGAUGGUUUGAUUGAGGUGGGUGUACACGCAUGUGUGCGAUUUGAGGCUCCCCAACGACAUUAUUUGUUUAUUGAUUCAUCUAUAAAAAAUAUUCGAACCGGAGGGUCUGGUGGAUUUUAGAUGGAUGAGGAAGAUCGGGAUGGAGUUGGAAGUAAACACUCACAAAUCAGAAGGGGCCUGGUGAGGGCAUUCAGCAUUGAGAGGAUGAGGGAGUGCGCUAUUAUAUUUGAGAAGGCAUUCAUCAUUGACGGGCAGUCUUCAAAAACUAGCCAGUGGUACGACGACAACACUGACAGGUUUCUAGUUAACACGGGUUAGUGUUCGUCAUCUAGGUCAUUUGCUAAUUAUUACUUUUGGUGAUACAAAAUAAAUUUGUAGCAUUAGUAAUUGCUAGUUGUGCAAUCAUAAUAGAUUUUUCUAUUAUAUUUUAGGCAUCUUCGUCCACAUAUGUAGAAUAUGUGCUAUAUCGGAUAUGACCCGGGAAGUCUCGUGUGUUUACAAGUUAGGUAUAUCAUAUUAUAUCAGAAAAUUACGAUAUAGUUAGACAGAUUAAUCAGAUCAUGUUAAGACCACCUGACCUUUCGAAAAAAUUGAACAAUCAUCGAAUUUAAAAAAUGAAAAAUUGAAUGGCUGCUCACCGUCACUGGCUGGUCAUUUGUGCGGUGGGUCAGUGAUAAAUUAAUUGAAUGCACUUUUACUUUUGUGAGUUUUCAUAGCUUGGAACUGUGUUCAAUUAAUGUGUAAAUAACAUGUUUACAAUCAACAAUUAGUGACACAUAAUGGAUGUCAGUUGAAUGAAACUCAAAAAAAAAAAUCUACUAGCUAGUCUUACGUGUGUGGGCGGCCUGGAUAGGUGGAGGCCUUGGUCAUUUCUGACAUCCGCACGAGAGGGUCUUUACUGGCGAUGGCCAUACCAGCCAUAUCACCUUCACCAACCAAUCGGCGUUGGCUUGGUCGAAGUAGCGUUUCUCCGCUUCCUCUUCAGCUUUUGUGGCAUACACCACUAGGAUCAUCUUUUUGUCCGAGCAGACAUUGUGGGUCAUCAGCUUCAUGUUGUCACCCUCUUCCUUGCCUUCCUGCACGCUGAUGGGGUGCUGGGAUGACAUGAAGACGUUGUCGGAUGGAUCGGGAGAGGUGGAGAGGAGAGAUGAUCGAAGAAGGUGAGAGCCAACGAGGAUGCGAGCGUCCUGUUUAUACGGCCAAAGAAUGUCGUCCAUUGCAGUGGGAAUCAUCGUGGGUAGAUGGGCAGGCACCGACGUGUCAUCCGUUCAAUGCUACUCACUGAGAACUCACACAUGCACUGGAAAUCAAGGACAUGUGAAUGCAUCUUGGUUUCGCAUUUUCAUUCAUCAACGCAGGAAAACGGUCAAUUAACUUUUGAGCAUAUACCAUUGAUCGGCCACUAACUAUGAGGGUCGCGGAUAAAUUAAUGCCACAGACUGGCCAAGUAGGCCGAGCAUUUUUCUGACCAGCUAGUAUAAAUUACCUUAGACGGUUGUGACAGGCUCAUCACUGACGCCUUUAAGCUUGCCUGUCAGUCUUGAACCUCAUCAGUGAUGUAUGUCCACUAGCCGGUCAGUGAUGAGGGGUCAGUGGUAUUUUGUUCUGUAGUAGUAUUUGCUUUGCUUUUUGCUCUUUGGUUUUCUAGUCGGUUCUUUCCCAAAAAGAACAACAGUCGAAUGUUUAGAGGGAUCUACAUAAAAAAACCUAUUUUAAAAAUACAAGCAAUGUAUUAAAAGGUUUCGGUGUUUAUUUGAAAAAAUUACACCGUACAUUGGAAAAAGGUCUGCCAUUAUAAAAAAAUGUUCAUCUAUUUUAUAAAAAUGUUCUAUUUGUACUAGAAAAAUGUUAAUCAUAUAUAAAAAAUAUGUACUAAUUUUCACUCUAUAUUAUAGUCAUAAAUUUAUAUAUAUAUUUGCAAAAAAAACAAAUCUGAAAAUAAAAAACUUUAAAAAGAACAAAAAGACACAAGGGAAAAAACAGCAGUAGCCAGCGAAGAAAACAAAACAGCUAACACAGACGAAGUGUGCCGGCCCAUCUUGUUCUGCUGUGAGCAUGGCCUGCGUAGGAUGCAGGCAAUGCAAGCAACCGAAUGGGCCAAAUUCUUCCCAUGCGGGUCUGGUUGGGCUGUAUGCGGGCAACCAAACACAUCUAUUAUUUUUUUUUGAAUUGUUUGGAUCCAUCGAUUGUUGCAUAUUGCCAUGUGAUGAUUGUGUUCUAUGGUGUCUUUCGUGGUAGGUUCUGCCUCCGACGAUAUUUCCGAGUAUCCAGCUGAAGGGCAGUACCCUACUACUACUCCAUCAGGCAAGCAGCCCCAUUGAUGAUAUGAUACAAUCCCAUGUUCACGCUCCUGCUCUCAUUUACUGCAUUAAGACAACAACGUUUCAAACUGCUGUGUGCUGCGGUAGUUGAACCCUUAUCCUCUGCAUGACCUGUCAUUGCCACAGUAACUAGAUGAAACCCACUAGCAUGUGUAGGAGUUGAUUGAGCCAUGCAUGUGUUUCCUACCUUUCUAUGCCUGCUAUGCUUAGAGUUGUGUCAGGUCUGGUUCAUCUGGGUUAUGGGAUAGAGUGAAAUGAUUACGUCGGUAAUGUGAGGGAUGUGUUGAACAUGAUUUGGUAAAGGUAUCGAUGAGAGGCCAUGUAGGAGUACAUGGUGGGUUGUUUCAUUGAGGCCGUCCCUAAGAACUGAGAUCUGUAUGCGUGAUUUAAGAUUCAGCUACUACCACACAUUGGGCCCUGAAAUAUGACCCCGCUCGACUUAUUGACCCCUCUCGUCCUCUAUCCAGGAGUUGCAACUAGUUUCUGGUGUUUAUAGGUUAUGUGUUGGGGGCCGUGCGUAGCGCUGACCCCAGGGAUGGGCUAUGAUGCGGUAGAUACACCGUGGCACGGUGUACCGAGUCGCCCGUUUGGUGUCUCGGGAACCCUGCACAUCGUUUGGGGCCGUUGAGGACACCCCGGCCAGAUUUCCUUGCGGAUGGAACCCGAAUAGGCGAUAAACCUGGACUAGAGACUUGUGUGGUUAGUCAGGUCGUGGUCUACACCCACGUCGGCUUUCGCUUGAAGUCUGCCGAGCACAUGUCGUGUGCAGAUGCUAAGUGGUGGAAACAUGUGUGACGAAGUACACCCCUGCAGGGUAUAAAACUAUUCAAAUAGCCGCGUCCGCGGUAAAGGACUACUUGGUUGCCUAUACAGUUCAUAGACAAGUUAAUGGUUACUACUAAAAGACUCAAGAUAAGUGUGAAUACCGAGGAUGGCCCUCUCGUAAGAUGACGAGGGAGGAUCCACGGUGGAGUAUUGUGUUGAUGAUUAGUGGACUCGUAUGCGAAAACUAUUUUACUAGUGGUGUCUCGUAGGAUAGCUUAGCCAAGAGUCAAAGCUGGCUUGCUGCAUUAACCCCACUACCUUCUUGAGAAUGAGCAUGUAUAGUAGGAUCUGUUGUAAGACUUGCUGAGUACCUUUGUACUCAUGUUGCUUUAAUUACUGUUUUCAGACGACAACACCGCCCCCUCCGAUGGGUUUUACGUAGACCUCGACGUCGAUGAGUAACUUGCCACCCAGGUGGUGAUUCCGGCCAUGGAGGGCCGUAUGUAGAUAGACAUGUCAACUUGUCGCCCAAGUUAACCAUGAAAAAGUUUGUUUUUAGUCGAACCACGAAGAGGCGAUUGGGCGUAUGUUCUUGCGGAGCAACAGCUGGUCGCUCGUGUCAUUGGGCCGGUCCAUGAAAGGUGGUGUGCGAGCGCUCCGCCUGCUAACUAGCGCGGCAAGCGCUAACUAGGAUGGCAUUUCCUAUUUGGCGCCUAUGGCUCCGGUUAUAGUCAUAAUGGUCAAUUUGUCGCCCGUGUCAACCAUGAAAAAGUGUUUUUUAGUCAAACCACGAAGAAGCGAUCGGGCAUAUGCUCUUGACGAGCGACAACUGAUCUCUCAUGUCAUUGGGCCGACCAAUGAAAGGUGGCGUGCAAGUGUUCUGUCCGCUAACUAGCUCAGCAAGCCCUGACUAGGAUGGCAUUUCUUANNNNNNNNNNNNNNNNNNNNNNNNNNNNNNNNNNNNNNNNNNNNNNNNNNNNNNNNNNNNNNNNNNNNNNNNNNNNNNNNNNNNNNNNNNNNNNNNNNNNNNNNNNNNNNNNNNNNNNNNNNNNNNNNNNNNNNNNNNNNNNNNNNNNNNNNNNNNNNNNNNNNNNNNNNNNNNNNNNNNNNNNNNNNNNNNNNNNNNNNNNNNNNNNNNNNNNNNNNNNNNNNNNNNNNNNNNNNNNNNNNNNNNNNNNNNNNNNNNNNNNNNNNNNNNNNNNNNNNNNNNNNNNNNNNNNNNNNNNNNNNNNNNNNNNNNNNNNNNNNNNNNNNNNNNNNNNNNNNNNNNNNNNNNNNNNNNNNNNNNNNNNNNNNNNNNNNNNNUAAAAAAGGCCUGCUCGCAACAGGUAACCAACAUCUCGAUCACUUGUGACAACUUACUUCCUUUUUCCCUUUUAUUCUCCUAAGUUCGUGAAACUUUUUCCUUUUUCAUGUUCUUUUUCUUUUAUUUUUAAAUUCUUGUUUUUCUUAAAUGCCCAUUUUUUUUCUUCAAAAUAGAUGAUUUGUUUUGUGAUUUGAUGAAAAAAAUUCAAAUUGUGAUGAACUUUUUUCAAAAUCGAUGAUUUUUUUCAAAUCAAUAAACUUUUAUCAAAAUUGAUGAAAAUUUUCAAUUUUAAUGAACUUUUGUUUCAAAUUUGAUGAACUUCUUUAAGAAUAGAUGAACCUUUUUUUCAAAUUUGAUGAUUGUUUUUUUUCAAAAUCAAUUAAUUUUUUUUCAAAUUUGUGAACUUUUUCAAAAAUUUGUGAACUUCUUUCAAAAUUUGAUGAUCUUUUUUUCAUAAAAAACAACUUUUCCAAAUUGUUUUCAAAUACACUACAUCUACAAUGAUUCUUAACACAUGUCACGUUACUAUCAAUCACCAGCAUUUAGAAGCUCUAGUGGUUAGCUAAACAAUUCCGGGGAUGUAGCGGUGUGACUUUGAUUCCUCAUAGAGUGAAUAUCCAAUUCUAAGCUUUGACUCAUGUGCACCCAGUGAGUAGUACAUUCAAAACAAAUACUAAAAAAUCAAAAAAUCUGACCUUUUUUUGCAUGGAAGAUGUUUCAAUGUGUGCGUUGUGUGCCAAAUUUCAAAGCAUUUGUACAUCUGAGCAGCUCUCAGCAAAAAAAUUCGGGUCCAAAGAGUGCACAUAUAGUAAACUUUUUCACAUAUCCCAAAUUUGUCUCUUUCUGAGAGCUACUAGGUCAUCCAAAUGCUCUGAAAUUUGGCAGUUGGCACGAACAUCACACGCUCACUCAUCUUUCCCCACCAAAAAAUUAAGAAUUUUUUGAAUUUAUUUAGUAUUUGUAAAAAAAAAGUGUUCACUCCCGGACUCAACAAAACAGCGCUCCCCACUUUUUGCGUGGUUUUUUCACGCUAUAAUACAGUUUGCUGCACAUUCAUGGGCCGGCCCACUAGGUGCUGCGGUGAGAGCCAGUUGGCUUUCGCGGCACAGAAUGCGUGGAAUAGAAGCUCCUGGAUUUGCCGUACGGGAUGACCGGUGAAUCCUAUAUGAUGCCAGCAAGAGUCAUAUAGUCGAGGCUUCACUGAAGACUCCUCCCGAUAGCCCAGCCCACGUAAAAGUUGUCCUGCUUCAUUUUUCUAUGUUUUCCAUUUGUCUUUUUCUCUUUCCAGAUUUUGGUUUUUCUUCUUUUUUGCAUAUUUCUUUUUUAUAGUAUAUAUGCUUUUUCUCCAAAGUAUCAAAGUAUUUCUUUAAAUAGAGACUGAAUUUUUUAGUAUACAGUGAGCCUUUUUCAAAUACAAAUUGAACAUUUUUAAUACACAUAAAAAGAAUUCUAAUGUACGAUGAACUUUUAAAAUUAUAAGAUGAACCUUUUUAGUUAUAGGAUGAACAUUUUAAGACACACUGAACAUUUUUUAAUAUAUGAUGACCUUUUUUUAAUAACUGAACUUUUAUAUAAAACACAUACUGAACAAUUUCCUAAAAUAUAUUUUUAUAUUAUUAAUAGGUUUUCUAAAUUGUAGCUCCUAAGAAACAAAAAAAAUAAAAAUAAGGUUGGCUAGCCAAUUUGCCCUCAGGCGUCAACUAGGAGGUCCCUGGAUGGCCCUCCAGCUCAACAUUAACAUAGUUUAAUUUGUUUUUGUUUCACCAAGUGAAGCAGCAUGUUACUUCCGUUAACAUAUGUAAGCCACCCCUACACGUUAUAUGGGGUAGGAUAUGUAUGUUGCCUGGAAAAAAUAAUUGAGUCAGACAGAUUUUUUCCAAAUGUUUGAUUGAAAUCGAGCGGUUAGUGCUCAUCUGUGUUUAUCUUGGAUGGUGCUUUUAGUGAGAGUUGAGAGUUGGGGCUUGGGAAGCUAUCGGCCAAUACACGUAUCAUGACUUUAUUUCUGCCACAACAAGUAAUGUUGAGGUCUCGAAGCCGCACUACAAGUUGAAGUGGAUGAGUUCCAUCGUGCCAUCAUGCUUGCUGAUCAAAUGGGCAUUGCACGAAAUAGUUUUGUCAUAGAAUGCAUGGCGCUGAAGCAAUGGAUUAGGCAUCCUUGGGAUUUAAGUUCAAGCAGUUGAAGUUUUUCCACUCGACUAGUUAUAUUGUAGAUCAAAUAAUCUUGUUGCCCUCGUGAUUGCAAUGAACCUUCUCAUUCUCGCGUCUUUGCGUGUGUGUACCAUUUUUGGACGCCAUGCUACCAGAUUGUGUUCAUAGUCCUACCAGCUUGUGUAGCCCGUUUGGUGACCAAUGAUUUAGCCGUGUCUUAAUGAGUCUACGAAAAGUGUGUCUUAAUGGCAUAUAUGUGCUUCAUUACGGAACAAAUAUUUAAAAAGGUGUAAGCAUUUUUCAUUGUAUUCGUUGAUACACUAAGAGUCUAGAGUGUUUGGUCUCGUUUUUUAACCGGAUCGGGAUAUUCUUGGGGGGUGCAAAUGACAAGAAUGUGUGACAUGACAAAUAUAUGGUUUUACCACACAUAAAUGUGAAGAUAGCAAAUCAAAGCUGACGGAGAAGUGUACCCCCCCCACCCCAACACACACACACACACAUGUGCUAAAACAGGAGUAGAGCAUGCAAGCAAUGCAAUGCAUUGGGCCAAUUUCUAACCAAUAAAUAUCGAUCUCUCCCUUGCCUCUCAGUUCCAAAAUCAUCACGUAGUGGUGAAUGGAGAUAGUCCAUAUAUCCAGAUAGUAAAGUGCUUGUGUUGUAUCUAUACGAGUUGCGUAGGUUUGAGAGGCAUUCAGAACUAUUUUACGAUGAGGAAGCCCCUUUGAUCCACUAUGAUCUUUUUCAAAUCUUCUCUCUUGUGUUGACUGUGCAAUUGGCCCGGAUAGGAAGAAAGUUUCACCGCAUGUCUUAAAGAACCAGGAUCGCUGGACACUUUCUACCUAGGACGCACACAUCGCCGUUCCCGAUAUAGAACUCCGGAUCGGACGAUGGCGGGCCCCUGAGCCGAUGGGCGUGCGACGGGCUUGCCAUGCGGCGAGCUAGAUGGCGUGGGUGGUGGUACAUGCCCAACCGACCAUGGGUGUGGAUGCUGAGACGAUCGGCAAAAGCUAUGUUCGGUGCAUUCCGGGCCGACGACUAUGGCACCUGCGGGCGGCACUUCCUUCAUGGAUGUGUCAUCGUUGUUGUUCUCAUCACCCUGUUGUCACACCCUAGCUAGUUCAUGCAUUAGAGUGUUGCAUCAUGUCUACUCUUUCAGAAAACUGAAAUGGAGAUAACACAAACCCCAGCACNNNNNNNNNNNNNNNNNNNNNNNNNNNNNNNNNNNNNNNNNNNNNNNNNNNNNNNNNNNNNNNNNNNNNNNNNNNNNNNNNNNNNNNNNNNNNNNNNNNNNNNNNNNNNNNNNNNNNNNNNNNNNNNNNNNNNNNNNNNNNNNNNNNNNNNNNNNNNNNNNNNNNNNNNNNNNNNNNNNNNNNNNNNNNNNNNNNNNNNNNNNNNNNNNNNNNNNNNNNNNNNNNNNNNNNNNNNNNNNNNNNNNNNNNNNNNNAAACAACUAGUGUUUACUAAAAUCUUUUUCAAUGAACCUGAAAUGCCCUUCUAAAAUGUUCAUCAUUUUUGCCUUGGUCUAGAACCUUUGACAAAAAUGAUGCACACUUUUCUAGGACAUCACAAGAUCAUUGGAUUAAACCAUAUGCUAUUUGCAUUUGGACAUUUAAAUGCUACUAAAUAUUUUAAAUGUCAAAAUAAUCCCAAACUAAAAUGUUACAUGUUGGAUAUGUUCUAAAUAGUGGGCAUGUGCAGUUUGGUGGUUUUUGGAAAUGCGUAAGUAUUUUUUAGAAAAGCCACAAACUUGCAGAAAUAAAGAAAACAAAAAAAUAAAAGGGAAACAAACUUACCUUGCAAAGCCACCAGCCAGCCCACCUGGCGGCUCAGCACUGUGCUGGCCCGUGCCAGCCAGCUGCUUCAUCCCUGCCAGGCAGGCAGGGAGGUGACGCCGGCGUGCGUGAGCUCGCCAGCGCGUCAGCUGCUUGCCGCCCUCGCCCCUGGACACCUGGGCGAGCUCCACAUCGCCGCCCCGACCCCGCAGACACCUCGCUCACUCCUCUGCCUCUCUCCCUCGCCCUCUCCCACCAUGGCCGACGCUGCCGCGCCCGCGCCACCAUGAUAACCGCGUCCGUCGUCGUCCCCGUGCCGCGUCACCGUGUCCGUUCGCUCCGCCGUCGUCGACUACGUCGAGCAGGCCGAGCCCCGAGCGCUCGCCCGCUCUGGAGUUGCCCCUGACCCCGUCUCCCCCAACUCCGGCCGCCGAGAUCGCCAUCGUCGCCCCGCUCAGCUCCGGCCUUCCCCGAGCCACUUCGACGCUUGCUGCAACCACCGUGAGCUCAGCUUCGUCCUCCCCCUCUCCGUUAACCCCCUCCUGCAUCGUAUGCACCGCACCACGUUCACCCGCACCCGCCGCCGGCGAGCUCGUCGCCGACGUGACUCCGGGCACACCACCGUGACCAAUGCACUCACCACACUCGCAGAAGCCCAUAGCACCUCUCCACGCGCCUCGCCGUGCCCCGUAGCCUUGGGUUCGACCUCACCUGAGCUCCGGCAGCCACACAGCUCGUCGCCGGCGACGUUUCCGGCCACCCCAGCUCCACCCACUGCCACCACUCGACGCGGCUCACUCCCCGCAUCACGUAGAUGUGCUCCGCCGUCGUUUUGGUCGCCGGAGCACGAAACCAGCACCGCUCCGCCGUGUCUGGCCUCGCCGGCGGCUAAACGCCGGCGAGUUUGACCCUGGUUGACCCCGUGUGGGCCCAGGUUGACUCCCCUGAGUCUAUGACAAGUGGGACCGCUCUGCUAAUUAACUUAGAUUAGCACUAACUAAAUUUAGUUAGUUAAUUAACUACUAACACGCGGGUCCCACUGGUCAGGUUUGACCUGGACCGGCCCCGUUGACCACUGGCGUCACCCUGACGCAAUGCUGACGCAAUAAUUCAAUUACUGGAAUUAUUCUUAUACAGGAAAUUCCAGAAAAUAUUACAAACUUCAAAAAUUCAUAACUUUUAAUCUGUAACUGCAAAUGCAAAGAUUUAUAUAUGAAAUUUGAUCAGAAAAAUUCAAUCUUUCCAUCUGUAAUGGUUUCAUGCAUGAGAAAACACUUUAACCCUGCUGUUUAGGUGAAACAAGCUAAUGCACUUAUAUGGCUUAAGAACAUAAGCUUCCAUUUGAAUCCUUGAUUCAAAUGGACUCAAACCAACUUGUUUCACAAUGCAUUAGCGAGGACACCUCAUAUUUCCAUGUCAUAGCAUCCAUCAUAUUGUUGCAUAUUGCCAUGUGAUGAUUGUGUUCUGUGGUGUCUUUCGUGGUAGGUUCUGCCUCCGACGAUAUUUCCGAGUAUCCAACUGAAGGGCAGUACCCUACUACUACUCCAUCAGGCAAGCAGCCCCAUUGAUGAUAUGAUACAAUCCCAUGUUCACGCUCCUGCUCUCAUUUACUGCAUUAAGACAACAACGUUUCAAACUGCUGUGUGCCGCGGUAGUUGAACCCUUAUCCUCUGCAUGACCUGUCAUUGCCACAGUAACUAGAUGAAACCCACUAGCAUGUGUAGGAGUUGAUUGAGCCAUGUAUGUGUUUCCUACCUUGCUAUGCCUGCUAUGCUUAGAGUUGUGUCAGGUCUGGUUCAUCUGGGUGAUGGGCUAGAGUGAAAUGAUUACGUCGGUAAUGUGAGGGAUGUGUUGAACAUGAUUUGGUAAAGGUAUCGAUGAGAGGCCAUGUAGGAGUACAUGGUGGGUUGUUUCAUUGAGGCCGUCCCUAAGAACUGAGAUCUGUAUGCGUGAUUUAAGAUUCAGCUACUACCACACAUUGGGCCCUGAAAUAUGACCCCGCUCGACUUACUGACCCCUCUCGUCCUGUAUCCAGGAGUUGCAACUAGUUUCUGGUGUUUAUAGGUUAUGUGUUGGCGGCCGUGCGUAGCGCUGACCCCAGGGGUGGGCUGUGAUGCGGUAGAUACACCAUGGCACGGUGUACCGAGUCGCCCGUUUGGUGUCUCGGGAACCCUGCACAUCGUUUGGGGCCGUUGAGGACACCCCGGCCGGAUUUCCUUGUGGAUGGAACCCGAAUAGGCGAUAAACCUGGACUAGAGACUUGUGUGGUUAGUCAGGUUGUGGUCUACACCCACGUCGGCUUUCGCUUGAAGUCUGCCGAGCACAUGUCGUGUGCAGAUGCUAAGUGGUGGAAACAUCUGUGAAGAAGUACACCCCUGCAGGGUAUAAAACUAUUCGAAUAGCUGCGUCCGUGGUAAAGGACUACUUGGUUGCCUAUACAGUUCAUAGACAAGUUAAUGGUUACUACUAAAAGACUCAAGAUAAGUGUGAGUACCGAGGAUGGCCCUCUCGUAGGAUGACGAGGGAGGAUCCACGGUGGAGUAUUGUGUUGGUGAUUAGUGGACUCGUAUGCAAAAACUAUUUUACUAGUGGUGUCUCGUAGGAUAGCUUAGCCAAGAGUCAAAGCUGGCUUGCUGCAUUAACCCCACCACCUUUUUGAGAAUGAGCAUGUAUAGUAGGAUCUGUUGUAAGACUUGCUGAGUACCUUUGUACUCAUGUUGCUUUAAUUACUGUUUUCAUACGACAACACCGCCCCCUCCGAUGGGUUUUACGUAGACCUCGACGUCGAUGAGUAACUUGCCACCCAGGUGGUGAUCCUGGCCAUGGAGGGCCCUAUGUAGAUAGACAGGCUUCGUCAAGCCUUCUUUCUUUCUAGUGUCUGUACUCAGACUUAUUUGCUUCCGCAUGUGCUUGUAUGCUUGUAUGACUUGAGUGUCGGGUCAUGUGACCCCUACCUGUAUGAACAUGUUAUGUAUGGCUCUCCGGAGCCUUUAAAUAAAGUACUUGAGUUGUAGAGUUUUUUUGUGAUACCAUGUUGUAUUUACAGAUAUGAGCAUAUUGUGUGUAUGAUUGAAAUGCUUGGUAUGUGUGGGAUCCGACAAUCUAGUUGUUUAUCUCUUAUGGGGAAAUGUAGUCUAGUGCCUCCUUGAGCCAUAGUAGUCAGCUACAGCCCGGUUCACCGGAGUCCUGCUGGCCCAGCACUACUGCUCAGGACAAUUGACUGGCCGGCAUGUGUUUCACUUCGUUCCUGUGUCUGUCCCUUCGGGGAAAUGUCACGCGGUGACAUCCGGAGUCCUGUUAGCCCAGUGCUACAGCCCGGAUUCACACGCUGUUGACCGACAUGCUCGAUGUGAUUCAUGUAUGCCUGUCCCCAUAGGUUUGUGCCGCUUUGGGUUCACGACUAGCCAUGUCGGCCCGGGUUCUCUGUCAUAUGGAUGCUAGCGACACUGUCAUAUACGUGAGCCAAAAGGCGCAAAUGGUCCCGUGCCAUGGUAAGGAGACACCCAUGGGAAUACCGUGCAUGAGGCCACAAAGUGAUAUGAGGUGUUACCGGCUAGAUCGAUGUGACUUGGAAUCAGGGUCCGGACAGCGUUGGCAUCAGAGCCGGACUGCCUGUAGGUUCGUUGAGCCAAACUGGUCGAUGUCGAGUCUAGAAAUGCUUUAGUUAUAUGUAGGGGAAUUGAUUGUGGGAGGGAACGUAAGGCUCUUUUACUCCUUUAACUUAUGCCCUCUGAUCUGAGUCAUUCUCUUCUCGUCCUACGUGGGUUAAGGACUAGGCUUUCUUCUCUCUAUCAGGUUCACGUGUUACUAAUCCGUAGUAGCUUAUAGGAUUGUUGUUACAAGCCUCAUUAUAGUUUCUACUACUUUUAGUAUGUUGCCAGUUGAACCAGAACCUUGAUAUGAUGUUGUUGAGUGGUUUUGCAAACUGCUGUGAAUGUCUCAAAUCUUUUUUUGAGCAUUUAUAGCCGUUAUGCUGUCCGAUUUCUCCUAGAAAAUUCUAAUGCCUUUGCAUUAUUAUGUGCUUUCAGAUGGCCACCCGUUCCCAGAACCAAGUGGUUCGUCUGACCCGGUGCCUCGAUGUACCCGGUUACACGGCCAUGCUGGUCCAGGUGAUGGUCGAGACAGGCUAUUGAUGGUAUCUUGAGUAUACCGUCGAGGAGCAGUUCCGAGACUUCAACCAGAGCCAGUACCUUUGUACCAUCAGGAUAUAUCCCUCUUAUCCUGGAGCCACUGAACCCCUCCACUGCUCUUAUGGACUUGGGAUUACUAUUGAUAUGUCCGUGCAAGACGCAGCUUACUCAAUGAUGACUAUCAUUCGAGCCAGAACUGCCUUACUCCAGAACACCGAUUUCCGCUACAUGCCAGCCUCACUCCCUGGAGCACAGGGGUACUAUCAGGCUUUGUACUAUGACUCUACACAUGAGGAGUCACUACUCCACACCACUGCCGAGAUGCUCGAGGACAAGGACCGUGAAAAUCGGGCCUUGCGGAUGGAGCUCUUCAACUCUCGUUCUGAUCACUGGGCCACUUUGACUCGAUUUGCACCUGAUGUGCAGGCGGGAUACAUGGACAUGAGGGACAUGUACCCCGUGCGGUCUGGGUUGCCAGAUUGUAUGGACUGGCGUGAUAUAGGAGGCAUCACCCCUCCUCGUGGUCCCCGUCUGCCACCAUUUGUGGGACCAAGGCCACAUCCGAGUCCCUAUGAACCGCAAGCUCCACAGGACCGUCCAUUCCCAGAUGAUCAUGUUCCGCUUCCAGGUUUUGGUGGUGACUUUUAUGAGGAUUACUACGGAGCUAUCUGAGCUAGUAGUAGUUUCACUAGUACUAUAAUAGUUGUAUUCUCCACAGUCCUGCGUGACCCGUGGGAUACGACUUGGUGUGUAUCACGCUCCGGGGGUGUAGAAAAUAAUGUAUAGGAGCUUGGAAUGCCUCCGAUGAGAUGUAACAUCUUUCACCGUAGUUGUACUCUAGCCUGGGCUUGUACUAAACUAUGUACGGUGUGUAUGACCGAUGAUAUAUAUAUGGAAGUUUCUAUAUUACCAUGUCGUGCAAUGAACAUCUCAGCAUUCCAUGUUAUCCAUUACAUUCUGCACUUCCUUGCCAAGAUUGUGCCAUCCUUGUCUAAACCAUUGUCUUGUUUUUCCUAGGAUGGUCAACACCCGCAGCAACCCUGCUGCCCCGGAGCAGGGGGAAGCCAGUGCAGCUAGGGAUGAGAAUCUACAUCACCCGCCUUCUCUGGCCGAAGUUAUGCUGGAGGCAGAAAGAAACAAGCGUGAGACUAACCGCUUGCUGGAGCGGAUUGACCAGAACACUGCACGUCAUCAGCGAAACGACUUGGUGUCAAUCAAUGACUUUAUCAAGUUGUACCCACCACAGUUUAAUCAUUCCGUCAAGCCCCUCGACGCGCAUGACUGGCUUCGCAGCAUCACCCACAAGCUACGUUCUGCCAAUGUAGCCGAAGCUGAUAAGGUUACCUAUGCUGCCUAUCACCUCGAAGGCCCUGCUAGCCUUUGGUGGGAAAACUUUGAGGCUAUGCGCCCGGUCGGCCAAAUCACUACUUGGGCUGAAUUCAGUGAGGCUUUCCGUGAGCAUCACAUCCCGGAAGGUCUCAUGGAUCGUAAGAGGGAAGAGUUCUGCAAUUUCACCAAAGGCAGACUAACUAUGGAUGCAUAUAGUCGUGAGUUUGGAAAUCUGGCACGUUAUGCUCCUGAAGAGGUAUCCACCGACGCUAAGAAGCAGGCAAGGUUCCGCAAGGGACUUAGCCCCGAGCUUCGCCGCGAUCUUCGUCUGCACGAGUGCACCUCCUUCCAGAAGUUGGUCAAUAAGGCCAUUGAGGGGGUCCUGGAUUAGGGGGUCUCCGGACAGCCGGAUUAUAUCCUUUAGCCGAACUGUUGGACUAUGAAGAUGCAAUAUUGAAGACUUCGUCUCGUGUCCGGAUGGGACUCUACUUGGCGUGGAAGGCAAGCUAGGCAAUACGGAUAUGGAUAUAUCCUCCUUUGUAACCGACCUAGUGUAACCCGAACCCUCUCCGGUGUCUAUAUAAACUGGAGAGUUUUAGUCCGUAGGACACAACAACUACAACAUACAAUCAUACCAUAGGCUAGCUUCUAGGGUUUAGCCUCUCUGAUCUCGUGGUAGAUCUACUCUUGUACUACCCAUAUCAUCAAUAUUAAUCAAGCAGGACAUAGGGUUUUACCUCCAUCAAGAGGGCCCGAACCUGAGUAAAACAUCGUGUCCCCUGCCUCAUGUUACCAUCCGGCCUAGACGCACAGUUUGGGACCCCCUACCCGAGAUCCACCGGUUUUGACACCGACAUUGGUGCUUUCAUUGAGAGUUCCUCUGUGUCGUCGCUGUUAGGCUUGAUGGCUCCUACUAUCAUCGAUAGCAAUGCGAUCCAGGGUGAGACUUUUCUCCUCGGACAGAUCUUCGUAUUCGGCGGCUUUGCACUGCGGGCUAAUUCGCUUGGCCAUCUGGAGCAGAUUGAAAGCUACGCCCCUGGCCGUCAGGUCAGAUUUGGAAGUUUGAACUACAUGGCCGACAUCCGCGGAGACUUGAUCUUCGACGGAUUCGAGCCACGGCCGGGCGCGCCGCACUGUCGUGAUGGGUAUGACCUAGCUCUGCCGCCGAACAGUACCCCAGAGGCCGCGCCCGCAUCAGCUCCGACCUUUAGCUCGGAGCCAACUGCGCCAAUCGAGGACGGGUGGUUAGACACUGCCUCAGGGGCUGCAGUCUCAACGGCGAUCGAGCCAAACACCAGCCUAACCCUCUGCGCAGCCCAUGACUCCAAGGUGCCGGACUCUUUUUCUGACUCCGAACCGCCCGCGCCCCUGGCAAUCGAAUCCGAUUGGGCGCCGAUCAUGGAAUUCACUGCCGCGGAUAUCUUUCAGCAUUCGCCCUUCGGCGACAUUCUGAAUUCACUAAGGUCCCUCUCUUUGUCAGGAGAGCCCUAGCCGGAUUAUGGCCAACGGGAUUGGGAUGCGGACGACAAAGAAAUUCGACGCCCACCCACCACCCACUUAAUAGCCACUGUCGAUGACUCAACCGACAUGCUCGACUUCGACUUCGAAGACAUCGACGGUAUGGACGACGAUGCGGGAGGCGAAGAGGAACCACCGCCCACAGGGCGCUGGACGUCCACUUCAUCAUAUGGCGUAUACAUGGUGUACACACCAAAAUAAGAUGACGACGAGGAAUGGAAGGACGCACCGAAGGCUUGUUCCCUCGAGAAGCAGUCAAAGCGGCGGUGCAAGCGCCGCCCCAAAUCCCGCCUCGGCAGAAAUAGCGAUCAUACAGACCCAGCGUUGGAGCAGGGCGAACCACUGCCGGACCACGGCAAUACGGAGAAUCAAACCGAACAAACCAAUUAUGUCAAAGAUAAUAGUCCGGACGACAUAACGCCGGACAGGCACCCAGAGCAGCAGAAUGCUCGUCAAAGGCUAGUUGCCACCGCGAGGAGUCUGAAAAAGCAGAAGCAAAGGCUCAAGGCUACACAGGACACACUCCAAAUCAGAUGGAGUAAAGUACUCAACACAGCAGCAAAGUACGGCAACAAUCGCCCCACCAAGAGCUACCCAAAGCGGAAGUUGCUACCUGAUUCCGAUGAGGAGGCCUCAGACCCCCCACAACCAAAAAUCAAAACAGCCACCUGGCCGGAUAGACGACCUCACGGCCAACAUAGAGCGGCAAACAAUGCCCUCACAAGACAAUACGCGAUCCACGCGAGGGCUCGCCCCCAAAGGACGGCGCAAGCAGAUCCAUCUAUGGACCAUGCAAGCGCGCCCCAGCAUACGAUGUAACACAACAAACAUCCGAACAACGCGGUACACCCAGAUACAGGGGUGCCGCACACCCCCUAUGUUUCACCGAUUAGGUGCUGGACCAUGAAUUUCCAGAGGGAUUCAAACCCGUAAACAUAGAGGCAUACGAUGCAACAACAGACCCUGGGGUCUGGAUCGAGGACUAUAUCCUCCACAUCCAUAUGGCUCGAGGAGAUGAUCUCCACGCCAUCAAGUACUUACCCCUCAAGCUCAAAGGGCCAGCUCAUCACUGGCUUAAAGGCCUCCCCGAAAACUCCAUUGGAAGCUGGGAAGAGCUCGAAGACGCUUUUCGGGCAAAUUUUCAAGGGACUUAUGUCCGACCUCCGGACGCGGACAAUUUGAGUCAUAUAACUCAACAGCCCGGAGAGUCAGCCCGAAAACUUUGGAAUAGGUCUCUUACUAAAAAGAACCAAAUUGUCGACUGUCCAGACGCCGAAGCCUUGGCGGCUUUUAAGCAUAGCGUCCGUGACGAAUGGCUUGCCAGACACCUCGGCCAAAAAAAGCCGAGAACAAUGGCAGCAUUAACAAGCCUCAUGACCCGCUUUUGCGCGGGUGAGGACAGCUGGCUGGCCAGAUGUAGCACCAGCGACCCCAGUACAUCUGAAGUUAGAGAUGGAAACAGGAAAUCACGGUGCAACAGCAAUAACAAAUGCCGGAAUAGAGAAGACAACACGAAGAGCACAAUAGUAAACGCCGGAUUCAAAAGCUCUCAGCCAGGUCAGCAAAAGCCGCCCUCUAAAGGUGCCAGAGACGAAUUGUCCAGCCUAAACAAAAUUCUAGAGCAAAUAUGUCAGAUCCAUAGCACCCCUGGAAAACCAGCCAAUCAUACCCACAGAGAAUGUUUGGUCUUCAAGCAGUCCGGCAAGCUCAACGCCGUACACAAGGGGGAGGAUACACCAAGCAAAGACGAGGAUGAGCCUCUCAAGCAAGACACUGGGGAACAAAAGAAAUUUUCACCAGAAGUCAAAACAGUAAACGUGUUACACGUGAUCAAGGGAAGAAACAAAACGGCACUCCCAGAAAAAUAUGCCCAAAGGCCUAUCACCGCGGAGUCCGGCCACUGGUCGUCUCAACCGAUCACUUUCGACCAUCAUGAUUACUCAGCAAGUAUCCGCGUGCAGGAUGGGCUGCCCUGGUAUUAGACCCAAUAAUUGACGGAUACCACUUCACACGAGUCCUGAUGGACGGUGGCAGCAGUCUAAACCUGAUAUACCAGGAUACAAUCCGCGAAAUGGGGAUAGACUCAACAAAAUUUUGCCAUAGCAAUACUACCUUCAAAGGAGUAACGCCAGGCCCAGGGGCUCAUUGCACGGGCUCCCUGCUACUAAAGGUUAUAUUCGGCUUCCCCGAUAACUUCUGUAGCGAACAUUUAACCUUCAACAUCGCUCUGUUCUAACGUGGCUACCAAGCACUACUCGGACGCAAAGCUUUCGCUCGCUUUAAUGCAAUACCGCACUACGCUUCCCUCACACUCAAGAUGCCCGGCCCACGUGGCAUCAUUACAGUAAACGGAAGUAUUAAGCGAUCUUUGCGCGCCGAAGAGAGUGCGGCUGCCUUGGCAGCCGCACACUAAAAACGGCCUCACCAGCUAAAGCAUUUAUCAGGUCGUCAAGACCUCGGACACGGUUAGACGAGUCCGGCGCAGCUAUUUGUAAUUCAUACCGGAUCAAUGGUCACACCCCUAUUACAAAUACAAGGGGCUCAACGCGCGCAGACAAGUGGCAAUUUUUACUCUUCUUGAAUUAUACAUGGUUUCUUUAAAAACUAUCUUUUUGCAUGACAACUUUUUCACCUAAGUUCCUCCCUUUUACAGAUGAUCAUCGUGCUACACCCAUCCAGGAUACGGCACACCGGAGACACAUGCACAGACGUGCAGCAGGGACCCGCUCCAAGGAUUCUUUUUAGAUUAAGACCCUGCAUAAACUUUUUUUACUGUCUCUUGUUAAUACAUAUCCACCGAAUUCUCAGCACAGUUGAGAAGGAUGCUGACGUCUUGGCAUGUGGCCACGUCAGAAUAAUGCACGUACCUAGACACAAGGGGCUUACUACAAAGGGCACUAUUUAGGACCGGUUUAUACCAUAAAGACCGAAUACCUUAGGGAGUGUUCAGCGUCGCGAGUUUGGCCUUAUAUGCAUCAGCUCCGAAUCAUUGUCUUUGGUCAAAUGUUGGGUUUGCCCGGCUCCUGUGUUUUGGUGCCUUACGUUACGCUUUAUAGGCUAAGGUAGCACCAGGAGAACUACUGCGAUUGUGCCCUGGUUCAUCCGGACGAGCACCUCAGUAGAGAAAGCCGAAAAGUGACUGUCAUGAUAUAGCGUGAGACUGGUCAACUACUCGAUGACCUAUCGGGAUGUUAGAAUUCCUCCGCCUUAACGAAGUGCCGUUUUCCGGCCAGGCAUGCACGCACCCCGCGAUCGGGAGAGUGCGGAGCCACCAGGGGCUAUCUAGUAGCCCCACUAUCAAACUCCUAUGGCUAAGUGAAAGUGUUAAAGCAUUAUAGUCCGGUUGCCUCGCUCCAUCACCUCCUUAAUAGGACCAAGACGUUGUGUUAAGUGUGAACACGCGUUUUUUCCGAGCACCUCCGCAUUAUAUGCGUGGGGGUUGAAGCCAACGGCUGCAAUCUUUCAGGUUAUACAACUGUAUACAUAAACGGCUGCACAGGAGGCAUCAUACUACUUUCAGGCAAAAGUAUAAACAUAGCCUUAUAAAAACUUCAUAAAAGCAUUGUGUUUAUAAUGAGAAUACAUAUCACUCAAACAUAAUAUUCUUUGAGCACUGAGCCUCUAUCAAACGAGCACCCUCGAGAACCUCCUCGAAAUAAUGCUCGGCAGCCACUCGGCCUAUGGCCGAACCCUGCACCGCAACAGUGGUAGCAUCCAUCUCCGCCCAGUAUGCUUUAACACGGGCAAGGGCCAUCCGCGAGCCUUCUAUGCAUGCCGACCUCUUCAUCGCUUUAAUGCGCGGCACCGCACCAAGGAACUGCUGCACUAAGCUGAAAUAGUUGUUCGGCUUUGGCUUUUCCGGCCAUAGCAGAUCCACAACAUACCUCACGGAUAGUCCGGACAACCUAUUCAGUUCGGCUCAUUCAGCUAGCUGGUCAGUCAAUGAAAGCGGACGCUCUGGAAUGUUGAAUUGCGAUUAGAACAGCUUGUCCACUUCACGAUCUGUCUGACCUUGGAAGUACUUGGCCGCAUCGGCAGCGCUCGCCGCCAAAUCCAUAUACACAUCUGCCGAACUCCACAGCCGAUCCAGAGGGGCAUACCGUGGAUCUCCGAACUUCCUCUGUAACAUGAAGGGUUUCCCAACCGCAAUAUCCCCGGCUUCCCGCAGCUCCUCCUUCUUCGCUCUCAUAGCAGAACGGGUGUCUUUGUCCGCCGCCAUGGCCUUCUCAAGGUCCGUUGCCUUCGCUCGGUUUUCUUUUUCAAGGACCCGGCAACGGUCGGCAGUGUCUUUUAAUUCUACGGCCAUCUUGGCCAUCUUCUCUUGGCUCUUGCAACGUGCGGCCUUCUCGGCUUUCAACUCUUCGGCCGCCUUCAAAGCAGCGGCAUUACUAAUCCUCCUUUGUUCUUUGGGUCGGGCAAGUUCUGCCCGCAAGGUUUCCACGGUGGCAGCUCCAUCUGCAGUCACAACAUAUUAAAGAUAUUGGCAUCAUGCUUCUCUUACUAUGCGGCGUUCACCAGAUAAUAACACUUACCUUGUGCCUCGUCAAGCCUCUUGUUAACAAGCUCGAUGUCGGCAUCUGCCGCAUCCAGUUGCCGUUUUAAUUUGGCAAACUCACUAGUCCGGCUAGCCACCGGAGCUUCCACCACCUGCACAUAGGGGCAGUCUGGUUAUUGCCUGGGAAUAUGAUCCUCUGUUCAUCGCCGUUCUCGACGACAACCAGAGUCUCAGGGGCUACUAUCUACAUAGGGCACGCCUAACAUGUGCAGUACUAUCACAUAUUAUCUCACGUACCUCAAAGCCUGUCAGUAGACUCAUAAAGGCUUCAUGUAAUCCGCUUUCGGCGGACGAGAUUCUCUUCAUCACCGUACUCAUCAGCAUACGGUGUUCUUCUGAGAUGGCCUCUCGCCGCACCAACUCCCUCAGAACGUCCGACCGCACACCAGACGGUGCCAGACUCUUCUGUCUGCUCUCUUCGGGAGCCGGACGCUGGGGACUUCGGGGGUCUAUGGGAUUAUCUUCUGGCCUCACCGGAUCCGGAGAGGCCCUCCGUGACGACACUUCGGGGUCGCCCGCUUCUUGAGCGGAGGAGUCCGGGGGAGGCAUUUCGCUCUCCAUCAUCUUUGGAAGAAGAUCCCCCGAAGGCGAGCUCAUCUGAGAGGGGCUAAGGCCCGAACUGCAAGAUAUAUGCGGUGGUUUUUUCUCAGAAAAAAGAUAGCAUACCUUUACUACUAAAAUAUUUUGGAUCACUUACGACUCGUUGGAGGGCUGAUCCCCCCGCGGACUUUGUGCGGCAAAAGCACCCCCCCGAGGCAAGACCCUCUGUGGGAGACUUCUUCUCCCGUUUGGAGGCUUAGGCUUCCGAAUCCUCAGAAGUAGUCCUUUUUCUCCCCCGGUUGUCCUCCUUCGUGGAGACGCUCAUUCCCUCGGUUGGAACGGGCAGCGAUGGGGGCCCGCGUCCNNNNNNNNNNNNNNNNNNNNNNNNNNNNNNNNNNNNNNNNNNNNNNNNNNNNNNNNNNNNNNNNNNNNNNNNNNNNNNNNNNNNNNNNNNNNNNNNNNNNNNNNNNNNNNNNNNNNNNNNNNNNNNNNNNNNNNNNNNNNNNNNNNNNNNNNNNNNNNNNNNNNNNNNNNNNNNNNNNNNNNNNNNNNNNNNNNNNNNNNNNNNNNNNNNNNNNNNNNNNNNNNNNNNNNNNNNNAAGGUGCGACCUCGAGCAUCUUCUCCAAUACCAGAUUUUCCAAACCCUCGGGGAGGGGGCCCAAACACCGAAUCAUCUUCCCCUUUGUUAGCCAGUCCUGGUCAAAAAGCGAACUCUCAGAAAUAACUUCGCGACGAAUAAAAGACAGUGUGUUCAGCCAGAGGAUUUCUUACUUGUUCGGCGGCGCGGUUACUGCUUAGGCCCACGUCUCGGUAAUAUCCGGACACUCUACUUGAGGACCGAAGAAUGACUUGUACAUCUCCUCAUGCGUCAGGCCGAGGAAACUUUGAAUGGCACGCGGUCCCUCUGGGUUGAAGUCCCACAAGCGAAGGGGCCGGCGUUUGCAAGGCUGGACUUGACAAACUAGCAUAACUUGUAUUACCACAGCCAAAUUAAAAUCUCCCUCGAAGAGAUCUCAGAUGCGGCUUUGCAGUAUAGGCACGUCCUUGGCUGGAUCCCAGCUCAGGCCUCUGCUAAUCCAUGACAUCAGUUGUGGUGGGGGGCCCGAGCGGAAAGUGGGGGCAGCUGCCCACUUGGCACUUCUAGGAGCCGUGACAUAAAACCACUCCCGUUGCCAUAAUUCGGACACCUCUGGAAAGGAACCUUUCGGCCAUGGAGCUCCUGCCUUCUUGCCUAUUGAUGCACCUCUGCACGCUGCAUGUUGCCCCUCAAUCAUCUUCGGCUUUACUUCCAAGGUCUUGAGCCACAAGCCGAAGUGAGGGGUAACGCGGAGGAAGGCCUCACACACGACAAUAAAUGUCGAGAUGUGGAGAAAGGAGUCCGGAGCUAGAUCAUGGAAAUCUAGCCCGUAAUAGAACAUUAAACCCCUGACGAAGGGAUCCAGAGUGAGGCCUAGACCUCGGAGGAAGUGGGAGACAAACACGACGUUCUCGUUGGGUUCGGGAGUAGGGACGAUCUGCCCUCGAGCAGGCAGCCGAUGCGAAACCUCGGCGGUCAGGUAUAUGGCCUCCUCAACUUCUUAAUGUCCUCUUCCGUAACGUAGGAGGGCAUCCAUCGGCCUUGAAGGCUGGAUCCGGACAUGACUGAAGAUCCGGAGUACCUAACCUGGGCUUUGGGUGUUAGAACUCGAGGCGGGGGAAGGGUUCGAUUGAGCACGGGAGGGAAAAGUGAAAACCUUGUCCCUUUAUAAAGAGAGUGAAUAUCAAGCGUCCUCUCCAUAGCCGUUUAGGACUUGCCUAUAAUCUAGGAGUCCUAGACACGGUUGGGUUACCCACGACCGCAUUAAUGAGAAUCCCAUAAUUGGGGGAACAAGAUCUCCGCUUCGACAAGACGUGUCAAGAAACCGCCUCGCGUUAUGUGUGGAGAAACGGUUCGAAUAAUCACCAGGCCAUGACAUAACGUCGUGCUGCCAAAACAAGCCAGCAAAUUAGAUCUGCGAAAAUAUUAUUCUCUCUACGGUGGAAUGUGGAACUUAUUUUGCAGGGUCGGACACUAUCCCCGUAUUCAGAUUCCUCUGUGAUGUAUUCGGAGAAGGAACCCGCCUUGCAAUGCCGAAGACAAUACUGCGUGCCGGACUCAUCGUCAUUGAAGCCUGGUUCAAGGGCUACUGCGGGAGUCCUGGGUUAGGGUGUCUCCCGACAGCCGGAUUAUAUCCUUUAGCCGGACUAUUGGACUAUGAAGAUGCAAUAUUGAAGACUUCGUCUCGUGUCCGGAUGGUACUCUACUUGGCGUGGAAGGCAAGCUAGGCAAUAAGGAUAUGGAUAUCUCCUCCUUUGUAACCGACCUUGUGUAACCCUAACUGAGGGAGUCCUGGAUUAGGGGGUGUUCGGGUAGCCGGACUAUACCUUCAGCCGGACUCCUGGACUAUGAAGAUACAAGAUUGAAGACUUCGUCCCGUGUCCGGAUGGGACUUUCCUUGGCGUGGAAGACAAGCUUGGCGAUGCGGAUAUUCGAGAUCUCCUACCAUUGUAACCGACUUUAUGUAACCCUAACCCUAUCCGGUGUCUAUAUAAACCGGAGGGUUGUAGUCCAUAGGCAAUCAACUCCAUACACAACAAUCAUACCAUAGGCUAGCUUCUAGGGUUUAGCCUCCUUGAUCUCGUGGUAGAUCUACUCUUGUACUACCCAUAUCAUCAAUAUUAAUCAAGCAGGAGUAGGGUAUUACCUCCAUCGAGAGGGCCCGAACCUGGGUAAAAACAUCGUGUCCCUUGUCUCCUGUUACCAUCCGGCCUUGACGCACAGUUCAGGACCCCCUACCCGAGAUCCGNNNNNNNNNNNNNNNNNNNNNNNNNNNNNNNNNNNNNNNNNNNNNNNNNNNNNNNNNNNNNNNNNNNNNNNNNNNNNNNNNNNNNNNNNNNNNNNNNNNNNNNNNNNNNNNNNNNNNNNNNNNNNNNNNNNNNNNNNNNNNNNNNNNNNNNNNNNNNNNNNNNNNNNNNNNNNNNNNNNNNNNNNNNNNNNNNNNNNNNNNNNNNNNNNNNNNNNNNNNNNNNNNNNNNNNNNNNNNNGAGAUCCGCCGGUUUUGACACCGACACUAACCCUGUCCGGUGUCUAUAUAAACCGGAGAGUUUUAGUCCGUACGACACAACAACUACAACAUACAAUCAUACCAUAGCCUAGCUUCUAGGGUUUAGCCUCUCUGAUCUCGUGGUAGAUCUACUCUUGUACUACCCAUAUCAUCAAUAUUAAUCAAGCAGGACGUAAGGUUUUACCUCCAUCAAGAGGGCCCGAACCUGGGUAAAACAUUGUGUACCCUGCCUCUUGUUACCAUCCGGCCUAGACGCACAGUUCGGGACCCCCUACCCGAGAUCCGCCGGUUUUGACACUGACAUUGGUGCUUUCAUUGAGAGUUUCUCUGUGUCGUCGCUGUUAGGCUUGAUGGCUCCUACUAUCAUCGACAGCAAUGCGGUCCAGGGUGAGACUUUUCUCCCCGGACAGAUCUUCGUAUUCGGCGGCUUUGCACUGCGGGCUAAUUCGAGUGAAGGACUUGGCUAUAGUGUGAUGACGCACUGCGGAAUAGUCAGCAGAUUUGAUUUGUGUUAAUAUUAUUCUCUCUAUGGCAAUAUGUGGAAGCUUAUUUUUGCAGAGCCGGACACUACUCUUGGUGUUUACAAUCUUCUAUGAAGGACUUGGAGGAGGAACCCGCCUUGCAAUGCCGAAGACAAUUUGCGCGCCGGACUCGUCGUCAUUGAAGCCUGGUUCAGGGGCUACUGAGGGAGUCCUGGAUUAGGGGUGUUCGGGUAGCCGAACUAUACCUUCAGCCGGACUCCUGGACUAUGAAGAUACAAGAUUGAAGACUUCGUCCCGUGUCCGGAUGGGACUUUCCUUGGCGUGGAAGACAAGCUUGGCGAUGCGGAUAUUCGAGAUCUCCUACCAUUGUAACCGACUUUAUGUAACCCUAACCCUAUCCGGUGUCUAUAUAAAUCGGAGGGUUGUAGUCCGUAGGCAAUCAACUCCAUACACAACAAUCAUACCAUAGGCUAGCUUCUAGGGUUUAGCCUCCUUGAUCUCGUGGUAGAUCUACUCUUGUACUACCCAUAUCAUCAAUAUUAAUCAAGCAGGAGUAGGGUAUUACCUCCAUCGAGAGGGCCCGAACCUGGGUAAAAACAUCGUGUCCCUUGUCUCCUGUUACCAUCCGGCCUUGACGCACAGUUCGGGACCCCCUACCCGAGAUCCGCCGGUUUUGACACCGACAUUGGUGCUUUCAUUGAGAGCUCCUCUGUGUCGUCGCCUUUAGGCCCGAUGGCUCCUUUGAUCAUCAACAACGAUACGGUCCAGGGUGAGACUUUUCUCCCGGGACAGAUCUUCGUCUUCGGCGGCUUCGCUCUGCGGGCCAAUUCGCUCAGCCACUUGGAGCAGAUCGAAAGCUACGCCCCUGGCCAUCAAGUCAGGUUUGGAAGCUUAAACUACACGGCUGACAUCCGCGGAGACUUGAUCUUCGACGGGCUCGAGCCACGGCCAAGCGCGCCGCACUAUCUUGAGGGGCAUGAUCUAGCUCUGCCCCCGAACAGUGUCCUGGAGGCCGCACACGCAUCGGCUCCGACCCCUAACUCGGAGCCUAUUGCACCAAUUGAGGAUGAACGGUUGGACGUCACCUCGGGGGCUGCGAUCCCGAAAGCGAUCGAGCCGAACGCUAGCCCUGCACUCUGCACGACCCGUGACUCCGAGGAUCCAGACUCCUCCCCGGACUCCGAACCCCCCGCGCCCCUGCCAAUCGAAUCCGAUUGGGCGCCGAUAAUGGAGUUCACCACCGCAGACAUCUUUCAGCACUCGCCUUGUGGUGAUAUCCUGAACUCUCUCAAGACUCUCUCCUUAUCAGGAGAGCCCUGGCCGAACUACGGUCAGCGAGGAUGGGAUACGAACGAUGAAGAAAUUCAAAGCCCACCCACCACCCACUUGGUAGCCACUAUCGACAAUUUAAACAACGUGCUCAACUUCGACUUCGGAGACAUCGACAGCAUGGAUGACGAUGCAGGAGAUACCGACGAACCAACGCCCAUAGGGCAUUGGAAAGCCACCUCAUCUCAUGAUGUGUACAUGGUGGAUACCCCUAAAGGAAGCGACAAUGAGGAAAAAGGGGAUGGGAUGGGAGAUCGACCCCCCAAAAAGCAAUCAAAGCGUCGGCGUAAACGCCGACCCAAGCCCCGCCUCAACAAAAACACAGCCAUAAAGCAGGACGAGCCGGUAGACGACGAGCAGGCCUUAGAGCAACCGUCCGAACAGGGCAACACGGAUAGAGAAACCGAACAUCCCUCCUCCGGCGAAAACGGCAUUCCGGACAACCUCACGCCGAAUAAACCUAUGAAGCAGAAGAACCUCCACGAGAGGCUCAUUGCAACUACAUGCAGCCUAAAGAAGCAGAAGCGGAAGCUAAAAACAGCGGAAGACGCACUCCGGAUUAGAUGGAGCAAAAUAAUCAAUACCACAGAUAAGUACGGCGACAGUCACCGCACUAAAAGCUAUCCGAAAAGAAAGCUACUGCCUGAAUUCGACGAAGAGGCUCUAGAGCCCUCGCAUUCAAAAAAUGAAAAAGCCACACGGUCGGAUAGAUAACCCCAUAAAGCGGCAAGCGGCGCCGCACCUAAAUCGGCAUGCGACCCACUUAAGGAUUCACAUCAUGGCCCAGUCAGGUCCAUUUAUGGGCCAAGAAAGCAAGCUCUCGUAAGCAACGCUAUGAAGCCAUCAUCAGAAUCCGGCACACCCAAAUACAGGGGCGCCGCACACCCCCUAUGUUUCAUCGAUGAGGUCCUGGACUAUGAAUUCCCAGAGGGAUUCAAACCCGUAAACAUAGAGGCAUAUGAUGGAACAACAGACCCUGGAGUCUGGAUCGAGGGUUAUAUCCUCCACAUACACAUGGCUAGAGGAGAUGAUCUCCACGCCAUAAAAUAUCUACCCCUUAAGCUUAAAGGGCCAGCCCGGCAUUGGCUUAAAAGCCUUCCCGAAAACACAAUUGGAAGCUGGGAAGAGCUCGAGGAUGCUUUCCGAGCAAACUUUCAAGGGACCUAUGUCCGCCCUCCGGAUGCAGACGAUCUUAGUCACAUAACUCAACAACCCGGAGAAUCAGCUCGGCAGUUCUGGAAUAGAUUCCUCACUAAAAAGAAUCAGAUAGUCGACUGUCCGGACGCCGAAGCCUUAGCAGCUUUCAGGCAUAACGUCCGAGACGAAUGGCUCGCCAGACACCUCGGCCAAGAAAAGCCAAGAACAAUGGCCGCACUAACAAGCCUCAUGACCCGCUUUUGUGCAGGGGAGGACAGCUAGUUGGCAAGGUGCAGCCCCAGCGACCCAAGUACAUCCGAAACUAGGGAUGGAAACGGAAAACCGCGACGCAACAAGGACCAUCGCUGGACUAAGGACAAAAGUCCAAAGAGCAUGGCAGUCAAUGCCGGAUUCAAAGGCACACGACAAAAUCAGGAAAAAUCGCCCCCCCAGGAUAACAGGGACGAUCCAUCCAACCUAAGUAAAAUCCUAGACAGGAUAUGUCAGAUACACAGUACUCCCGGGAAGCCUGCUAACCAUACCCAUAGAGACUGUUGGGUUUUCAAACAAUCCGGUAGACUCAACGCCGAACACAAGGGGCUCGACACACCAAGCGAAGACGAGGAUGAACCCCAAAAGCAGAGCACCAAGAAACAAAAGAACUUCCCACAAGAAGUAAAAACAGUGAACUCACUUCACAUAACAAAACGUGCGGCGCCCGUAAAGGUACGCACCACAUGGCCCAAAGGGUCCUGCCACUGGUUGUCAAAACCGAUCAUCUUCGAUCAGCUAGAUUAUUCUAGGAAUAUCAAGAAUGUAGGCUGGACUGCCUUGAUACUCGAUCCAAUAAUUGGCGGACUCCAGUUUUCAAAUGUCCUUAUGGACGGCGGCAGUGGACUAAACCUGAUAUAUCAGGAUACAAUCCAGCACAUGGGGAUAAACCCAACAAGAAUCUGCCGCAGCAAAACCUCCUUUCAAGGGGUAAUACCUGGUCCGGACACCCAUUGUAUGGGUUUUCUUCGGCUCGAAGUCAUAUUCGGCUCUGCCGAUAACCUCCGCCGCGAAAAGCUGACCUUCCAUAUCGUCCCGUUCUCAAGUCGCUUUCAAGCACUACUGGGACGCGAAGCUUUCGCUCACUUUAACGCAAUACCGCAUUAUGCAUCUCUUACGCUUAAGAUGCCCGGUCCACGAGGCAUCAUCUCUUUGAAGGGGAAGCACUAAAGUGCGCCUCCCCAAGCGGAGGACUGUGUGGCCACUUUGACAGCCCCACAGCAAAAUGGCCUCAUCGGCCAAAAGAAACUUUGAAAUAGGUCAUUCAAGACCAUGAACGCAGAUAGACGAGUUCGGUGCAAAAUCAUCAUUGAUGCAGGCCUAGAAGCCAUAUACCCCCGCACUAGGGGCUCCACGCAUAUACAAUAAGAGACAAUAAAGCUCAAUCUUAUAUAUCUUACUUUAUACAUUGCUUAUUUUAAACUUUUUUGGCACGACCCGUUUUCAACUCAGUUCCUCUCUUUUACAGAUGAACGUCGUGUGGCGCCCGUCCAGGAUACGGCACAACGGAGACACAGGCGCAGACGUGCAGUAGGGACCCGUCCUAAAGGAUUCCUUUUAGAUUAAGACCCUGCGUAAACCUUUUUUACUGUCUCUUGUUGCUACACAUCCCCUGGUUUUUUCUUUCUAAUAUAACCAAGGAGGAGGCUGGCGUCUUGGCAUGUGGCCACGUCAGAAUUUUUGCACGUACCUGGACACUAGGGGCUUUUUUAAUAAAGAGUGUUCUUUCGCCCGCACUCAUAAAGACCGAACACCUUAGGGAGUGUUCGGCGUCGCGAGUUUUGGCAUUAUAUGCAUCAGCUCCGAAUCAUGUCUUUGGUCAAAUGUUGGGUUGCCCGGCUCCUGAGUUCGGCUACCUUAUGUUCCGAUCAAUCGGCUAAGGUAGCACCAGGAGAACUACUGCGAUUGUGCCCCCGGUUCGGCCGGGCGAGCACCUCAAUAGAGAAAGCCGAAAACUGACUGUCAUGAUGUAGCGUGAGACUGGUCAGCCACUCGAUGACCUAUCGGAAUCUAUCGGAUUCCUCCGCUUUAACGAAGGGCCGCUUCCUAGUCAGGCACAUACGCGCCCCGAAUUCGGGCGAGCGCAGUUGCCACCAAGGAGCUACCUAAAGAGUCCCAUUGUCAAACUCCUAUGGCUAAGUGAAAGUGUUAAAGCAUUAUAGUCCGGUUGCCUGGCCCGCUACGCUAUCACCUCCUUUGUAGGACCAAGACGUUGGGUUAAGUGUGAAAAUGCGUCUUCUGCGAGCACCCCCGCACUAUGUGCGUGGGGGCUGAAGCCAACGACUGCCAUCUUAAAACGGCCGCACAGGAGGUGUUCCCAAUACUUGGAGGCACAAGUAUAAAAAAGGCCACUACAGUUUAUCAAAAUAUUACUUUAUAAUUACAUAUGCUAUCAUAACAUAGCAUCUUUCGGGCAUUGCGUCUCUAUUACACGAGCGCCUUCAAGAACUUCCUGAAAAUAGUGCUCGGAGGGUACUCGGCUUUUGUCCGAAUCUCGAGACGCAACAACGGUGGUCUCCAUCUCUGCCCAGUAUGUCUUAACACGGGCAAGAGCCAUCCUAGCACCCUCUAUGCAUGCUGACCUCUUCAUUGCAUUUAUACGCGGCACCGCGUCAAGGAAUUGCUGCACCAAGCUGAAAUAACUCAUCGGCUCCGAUCUCCCCGGCCACAGGUGACCCAUGACGUACUUCAUGGCAAGUCCAGACAACCUAUUCAGUUCGGCCCAUUGAGCCAAGCGAUCAUCCACUGCCAGUGGACGCUCUGGAUUGUGAAACUGCGACCAGAAAAGCUUUUCCACUUCGCGAUCUUUCUGAUCUUGAAAGUGUUCGGUCGCAUCAGCAGCACUCGCUGCCAAGUCCAGAUAGGUAUCCUCCACACUUCACAUCCGGUCCAACGGAGCAAACUUCAGAUCACAAAAUUUCCUUCGUAGCAUAAAGGGCUUUCCAGCCGCAAUCUGUUCGGCCUGACGCAGCUCCUCCUUCGCAGCUCUCAUCGCAGAGUGCGCAUCCUUGGCAUUGGCAACGGCCUUCUCUAAGUCUGUCUGUUUUGCCUGGUCUUCUUUUUCAAGAAGUCCGCAACGGUCGGUAGCGCUUUUUAACUUUUCGGCCAUCUCAACCAUCUCCUCCUUGCUUCGGCAAUGAGCAGCCUGUUCGGCUCUCAGCUCUUCAAGGGCCUUCUCGGCAGCCGCAUCGCUUUUUCUGGCUUGCUCCUUAGCUCGGGCAAGUUCUGCCCUAAGAUUCUCCACGGCGGCCGUACCAUCUGCGUCGAGCACACACAUUGUAAGACACUGGCAUGAAGCUCCUCUUACCUGAUGCCGCCCGAAUAAUUACAUAUCUUGAGCCUCAUCAAGCUGCUUGUUGACAAGCGCGAUGUCGGCAUCCGCCACGUCCAGUUGCCGCUUUAGUUCGGCCACAUCAUCAGUUCGGCUUGAUUCCAGACACCUCGCCACCUACAUUCAAAGGCGACAUCUUAGACCUGGGAUUAUGAUCCUCUGUGCGCCGUCAUUUCUUGACAACGUGCAGAGUCUCAGGGGCUACUAUCUACACAGGGCGCACCUUACUUAUGUGCAACUGACAAAAGUGUACAUUAUCUGACGUACCUCAAAACCCGUCAGUAAACUUUUGACGGCCUCAUGCAAUCCGCUUUCUGCGGAUGAAAUCCUUUCAAUCACCGUGCCCAUCAAUGCACGGUGCUCCUCUGAGAUAGAAGCUCGCCCCAGCAGAAUCUUUAGCUCCUCCGGCCGAGCACCAGACGGUGCCGGACUUGUCCUAUGGCCUCUUUCGAAGGCCGGACGCGGAGAGCCUCGAGGAGCCACAUAGCUAUCUUCCGCCCCUACCAGAUUCAGAGAAACCCUCCGCGACGACACCUCAGGGUAGCCCGCCUCGCUAGGCGGUACGGCAGGGGGAGGCGUCCCGCUCUCCAUAAUCUCCGGAAGAAGAUCCCCCGAAGGCGAGCUCUGCUGAGAAGGGCUGAGGUCCGAGCUACAAGGUAAAAUUUUGGUUAAUCUUCUCAGAUAUAAAUCAAGGAUUUCUCUCUUCCCUCAAAAGGAAAACCUCUCUCUACUUAUGGCUCGCUGGAGGGCUGAUCCCUUUGAGGGCGUAGUUCGGCCGAGGAACUCCCCGGCGUCGGACCCUUUGACGAGGAUUUUCUCCCCCGCUUCGGGGCCAUGGUCUCCGGGUCGUCAGAGGCGGCCCUCUUCUUCCCCUUGGGAGAGGAAUUGUCGGUUCCUCCCUUCGGAGCAGCCUCCUUCGAGGAGGCCAUAGUUCCCUUGUCCUUCCCCUUACUUCCCUCCAAAGGCAUUAUCUUCAACAUCCUGACAAGCAUGGGAUCCGGCCUGGUUUCGGGAAGGGGAGUCGGACACCUGAUCAUCUUUGCCUUCGCUAUCCACUCCUGUUUAAAAGGACAGCUCCUUUAGGGGCAAGUUUAUGACGAUUAUAUGGAUAGUAGGUCCGGGCACAAGGUUACUUACUUCGGUAUCCGGGCGAUUGCAGCUUAGGCCUGCGUCCUCGGUCAAAUCCGGACACAUCAUUUGUGAUCCGAAGAACAGUUUAUACAUCUCCAUGGGCGUUGCGCCCAUAAAAUGAUGGAGAGCUCGUGGUCCCUCCGGAUUAAACUCCCACAGACGAAGGGAGCGACGUUUGUCGGGCAGUGUUUGGCGAAUCAGCAUGACCUGCGUCACCUUGACCAGGUUGAGGUCUCUUUCUAAGAGACCCCUGGUGCGGCCCUACAACAAGGGCACGUCUUUGGAUAACCCCCAAUCUAAUCCUUUGUUGACCCAUGACGCUAGCCGUGAUGGGGGACCCGAGCGAAAGGCAGGAGGCGCCGCCCACUUGGCGCUCCUGGGAGCGGUGAUAUAGAACCAUUCUCGUUGCCACAAGCCGAGCUCCUCUUGAAAGGAGCCCUCGGGCCAUGGAGCAUCAGCAUUCUUACUUAUGACAGCGCCUCCGCACUCUGCGUGCCGUCCCCCGAUCAUCUUCGGCUCCACUCCAAAAGUCUUGAGCCAUAAUCCAAAGUGAGGAGUAACACGGAGGAACGCUUCGCACACAACGAUGAAUGAGGAAAUGUGGAGGAUGGACUCCGGAGCUAAGUCAUGAAAUUCCAGCCCGUAAUAAAAUAGCAGCCCCCUCAUGAAGGGAUCCAUCGGGAAGCCUAACCCCUGAAGGAAGUGAGACAUGAACACUACGCUCUCACCGGGCUGGGGACUGGGAAUAGCCUGCCUUUGAGCAGGCAACCUAUGCGAAAUUUUGGCGGUCAAGAACUUAGCCUCUCUCAACUUUAGCACGUCCUGCUCCGUGAUGGAAGAGGGCAUCCAUCGGCCUUGAAGGUCGGAACCGGACAUUGUCGAAGGUCUAAGGCGCCCGGAAUCUGAAGCCUAGGGUGUUGGAACUUGAGGCGACGGGCGAACUUGUUUUGGGGUUGGAGAAAAGGAGUAAGGCCCUGGUCCCUUUAUAAAAGGUUGAAUACCAGGAGCCCUCCCCGUAACCGUUUGGGACUCGCCUUUAAUCGAGAAAACAUGCUAACGGGCACGAUUGUGUUACCCAUGUCCGUAUUGAUGAGAAUCCCGUAAAAGGGGGGCACACGAUCUCUGCUUUGACAAGACGUGCCAAGGAAACCGCCUCGCAAAACACGCUGAGGUGGAAGAGUGAAAACGAUUCGAGUGAAGUACUUGGUUGUAGUGUGAUGACGCACUGCGGAAUACGUCAGCAGAUUUGAUUUGUGUUAAUAUUAUUCUCUCUAUGGCAAUAUGUGGAAGCUUAUUUUUGCAGAGCCGGACACUACUCUUGGUGUUUACAAUCUUCUAUGAAGGACUUGGAGGAGGAACCCGCCUUGCAAUGCCGAAGACAAUUUGCGCGCCGGACUCGUCAUCAUUGAAGCCUGGUUUAGGGGCUACUGAGGGAGUCCUAGAUUAGGGGUGUUUGGGUAGCCGGACUCCUGGACUAUGAAGAUACAAGAUUGAAGACUUCAUCCCGUGUCCGGAUGGGACUUUCCUUGGCGUGGAAGACAAGCUUGGCGAUGUGGAUAUUCGAGAUCUCCUACCAUUGUAACCGACUUUAUGUAACACUAACCCUAUCCGGUGUCUAUAUAAACCGGAGGGUUGUAGUCCGUAGGCAAUCAACUCCAUACACAACAAUCAUACCAUAGGCUAGCUUCUAGGGUUUAGCCUCCUUGAUCUCGUGGUAGAUCUACUCUUGUACUACCCAUAUCAUCAAUAUUAAUCAAGUAGGAGUAGGGUAUUACCUCCAUCGAGAGGGCCCGAACCUGGGUAAAANNNNNNNNNNNNNNNNNNNNNNNNNNNNNNNNNNNNNNNNNNNNNNNNNNNNNNNNNNNNNNNNNNNNNNNNNNNNNNNNNNNNNNNNNNNNNNNNNNNNNNNNNNNNNNNNNNNNNNNNNNNNNNNNNNNNNNNNNNNNNNNNNNNNNNNNNNNNNNNNNNNNNNNNNNNNNNNNNNNNNNNNNNNNNNNNNNNNNNNNNNNNNNNNNNNNNNNNNNNNNNNNNNNNNNNNNNNNNNNNNNNNNNNNNNNNNNNNNNNNNNNNNNNNNNNNNNNNNNNNNNNNNNNNNNNNNNNNNNNNNNNNNNNNNNNNNNNNNNNNNNNNNNNNNNNNNNNNNNNNNNNNNNNNNNNNNNNNNNNNNNNNNNNNNNNNNNNNNNNNNNNNNNNNNNNNNNNNNNNNNNNNNNNNNNNNNGUUUUGACACCGACACUAACCCUGUCUGGUGUCUAUAUAAACCGGAGAGUUUUAGUCCGUAGGACACAACAACUACAACAUACAAUCAUACCAUAGGCUAGCUUCUAGGGUUUAGCCUCUCUGAUCUCGUGGUAGAUCUACUCUUGUACUACCCAUAUCAUCAAUAUUAAUCAAGCAGGACGGAAGGUUUUACCUCCAUCAAGAGGGCCCGAACCUGGGUAAAACAUCGUGUCCCCUGCCUCUUGUUACCAUCCGGCCUAGACGCACAGUUCGGGACCCCCUACCCGAGAUCUGCCGGUUUUGACACCGACAUUGGUGCUUUCAUUGAGAGUUUCUAUGUGUCGUCGCUGUUAGGCUUGAUGGCUCCUACUAUCAUCGAUAGCGAUGCGGUCCAGGGUGAGACUUUUCUCCCCGGACAGAUCUUCGUAUUCGGCGGCUUUGCACUGCGGGCUAAUUCGCUUGGCCAUCUGGAGCAGAUUGAAAGCUACGCCCCUGGCCGUCAGGUCAGAUUUGGAAGUUUGAACUACAUGGCCGACAUCCGCGGAGACUUGAUCUUCGACGGAUUCGAGCCACGGCUGGGCGCGCCGCACUGUCGUGAUGGGUAUGACCUAGCUCUGCCGCCGAACAGUACCCCAGAGGCCGCGCCCGCAUCAGCUCCAACCUUUAGCUCGGAGCCAACUGCACCAGUCGAGGACAGGUGGUUAGACACCGCCUCAGGGGCUGCAGUCUCAACGGCGAUCGAGCCAAACACCAGCCUAACCCUCUGCGCAGCCCGUGACUCCAAGGUGCCGGACUCUUUUUCUGACUCCGAACCGCCCGCGCCCCUGCCAAUCGAAUCCGAUUGGGCGCCGAUCAUGGAAUUCACCGCCGCAGAUAUCUUUCAACAUUCACCCUUCGGCGACAUUCUGAAUUCACUAAGGUCCCUCUCUUUGUCAGGAGAGCCCUGGCCGGAUUAUGGCCAACAGGAUUGGGAUGCGGACAACAAAGAAAUUCGACGCCCACCCACCACCCACUUAAUAGCCACUGUCGAUGACUCAACCGACAUGCUCGACUUUGACUCCGAAGACAUCGACGGUAUGGACGACGAUGCGGGAGGCGAAGAGGAACCACCGCCCACAGGGCGCUGGACCUCCACUUCAUCAUAUGACGUAUACAUGGUGGACACACCAAAAGAAGACGAUGACGAGGAACGGAAAGACGCACCGAAGGCUUGUUCCCUCGAGAAGCAAUCAAAGCGGUGGCACAAGUGCCGCCCCAAAUCCUGCCUCGGCAGAAAUAACGAUCAUACAGACCCAGCGUUGGAGCAGGGCGAACCAGUGCCGGACCAUGGCAAUACGGAGAAUCAAACCGAACAAACCAAUUCUGUCGAAGAUAAUAGUCCGAACGACAUAACGCCGGACAGGCACCCGGAGCAGCAGAAUGCUCGUCAAAGGCUUGUUGCCACUGUGAGGAGUCUGAAAAAGCAGAAGCAAAGGCUCAAGGCUACGCAAGACACACUCCAAAUCAGAUGGAGUAAAGUACUCAACACAACAGCAAAGUACGGCGACAAUCGCCCCACCAAGAGCUACCCAAAGCGGAAGUUGCUACCUGAAUUCGAUGAGGAGGCCUCAGACCCCCCACAACAAAAAAUCAAAACAGCCACCUGGCCGGAUAGACGACCUCACGGCCAACAUAGAGCGGCAAACAAUGCCACUCACAAGACAAUACGCGAUCCACGCGAGGGCUCGCACCAAAAGGACGGCGCAACCAGAUCCAUCUAUGGACCACGCAAGCGCGCCCCAGCAUACGAUGUAACACAACAAACAUCCGGACAAUGCGGUACACCCAGAUACAGGGGUGCCGCACACCCCCUAUGUUUCACCGAUGAGGUGCUGGACCAUGAAUUUCCAGAGGGAUUCAAACCCGUAAACAUAGAGGCAUAUGACGGAACAACAGACCCUGGGGUCUGGAUCGAGGAUUAUAUCCUCCACAUCCAUAUGGCUCGAGGAGAUGAUCUCCACGCCAUCAAGUACUUACCCCUCAAGCUCAAAGGGCCAGCUCAUCACUCGCUUAAAGGCCUCCCCGAAAACUCCAUUGGAAGCUAGGAAGAGCUCGAAGACGCUUUUCGGGGAAAUUUUCAAGGGACUUAUGUCCGACCUCCGGACGCAGAUGAUUUGAGUCAUGUAACUCAACAGCCCAGAGAGUCAUCCCGAAAACUUUGGAACAGGUUUCUUACUGAAAAGAACCAAAUUGUCGACUGUCCAGACGCCGAAGCCUUGGCAGCUUUUAAGCAUAGCGUCCGUGAUGAAUGGCUUGCCAGACACCUCGGCCAAGAAAAGCCGAGAACAAUGGCAGCAUUAACAAGCCUCAUGACCCGCUUUUGCGCGGGUGAGGACAGCUGGCUAGCCAGAUGUAGCACCAGCGACCCCAAUACAUCUGAAGUUAGAGAUGGAAACAGGAAAUCACGGUGCAACAGCAAUAAAAAAACGCCGAAAUAAAGAAGACAGCACGAAGAGCACGGCAGUAAACACCGGAUUCAAAAGCUCUCGGCCAGGUCAGCAAAAGCCGCCCUCUAAAGGCGCUAGAGACGAACUGUCCAGCCUAAACAAAAUUCUGGACCAAAUAUGUCAGAUCCAUAGCACCCCUGGCAAACCAGCCAAUCAUACCCACAGAGAAUGUUGGGUCUUCAAGCAGUCCGGCAAGCUCAACGCCGUACACAAGGGGGAGGAUACACCAAGCGAAGACGAGGAUGAGCCUCUCAAGCAAGACACUGGGGAACAAAAGAAAUUUCCACCAGAAGUCAAAACAGUAAACGUGUUACACGUGAUCAACGGAAGAAACAAAACGGCACUCCCAGAAAAAUAUGCCCAAAGGCCUAUCACCGCGGAGUCCUGCCAUUGGUCGUCUCAACCGAUCACUUUCGACCAUCGUGAUUACUCAGCAAGUAUCUGGCGUGCAGGAUGGGCUGCCCUGGUAUUAGACCCAAUAAUUGACGGAUACCACUUCACACGAGUCCUGAUGGACGGUGGCAGCAGUCUAAACCUGAUAUACCAGGAUACAAUCCGCGAAAUGGGGAUAGACCCAGCAAAAAUUUGCCAUAGCAAUACUACCUUCAAAGCAGUAACGCCAGGCCCAGGGGCUCAUUGCACGGGCUCCUUGCUACUAAAGGUUAUAUUCGGCUUCCCCGAUAACUUCUGUAGCGAACAUUUAACCUUCAACAUCACUCCGUUCCAACGUGGCUACCAAGCACUACUCGGACGCAAAGCUUUCGCUCGCUUUAAUGCAAUGCCGCACUACGCUUCCCUCACACUCAAGAUGCCCGGCCCACGUGGCAUCAUUACAGUAAACGGAAGUAUUAAGAAAUCUUUGCGCGCCGAAGAGAGUGCGGCUGCCUUGGCAGCCGCACACUAAAAAUGGCCUCACCAACUAAAGAAUUUAACAGGUCGUCAAGACCUCGGACACGGUUAGACGAGUCCAGCGCAGCUAUAUGUAAUUCAUACCGGAUCAAUGGUCGCACCCCUAUUACAAAUACAAGGGGCUCAACGCGCGCAGACAAGUGGCAAUUUUUACUCAUCUUGAAUUAUACAUGGUUUCUUUAAAAACUAUCUUUUUGCAUGACAACUUUUUCACCUAAGUUCCUCCCUUUUACAGAUGAUCAUCGUGCUACACCCGUCCAGGAUACGGCACACCGGAGACACAGGCGCAGACGUGCAGCAGGGACCCGCUCCAAGGAUUCUUUUUAGAUUAAGACCCUGCGUAAACCUUUUUUACUGUCUCUUGUUAAUACAUAUCCACCGAAUUCUCAGCACAGUUGAGAAGGAUGCUGACGUCUUGGCAUGUGGCCACGUCAGAAUAAUGCACGUACCUGGACACAAGGGGAUUCCUACAAAGGGCACUAUUUAGGCCCGGUUUAUACCAUAAAGACCGAAUACCUUAGGGAGUGUACGGCGUCGCGAGUUUGGCCUCAUAUGCAUCAGCUCCGAAUCAUUGUCUUUGGUCAAAUGUUGGGUUUGCCCGGCUCCUGUGUUUUGGUGCCUUACGUUACGCUUUAUAGGCUAAGGUAGAACCAGGAGAACUACUGCGAUUGUGCCCUGGUUCAUCCGGACGAGCACCUCAGUAGAGAAAGCCGAAAACUGACUGUCAUGAUAUAGCGUGAGACUGGUCAACUACUCGAUGACCUAUCGGGAUGUUAGAAUUCCUCCGCCUUAACGAAGUGCCGUUUUCCGGCCAGGCAUGUACGCACCCCGCGAUCGGGAGAGUGCGGAGCCACCAGGGGCUAUCUAGUAGCCCCACUGUCAAACUCCUAUGGCUAAGUGAAAGUGUUAAAGCGUUAUAGUCCGGUUGCCUCGCUCGCUACGCUAUCACCUCCUUAAUAGGACCAAGACAUUGUGUUAAGUGUGAACACGCGUUUUUUGCGAGCACCUCCGCAUUAUAUGCGUGGGGGUUGAAGCCAACGGCUGCAAUCUUUCAGGUUAUACAACUGUAUACAUAAACGGCCGCACAGGAGGCAUCAUACUACUUUCAGGCAAAAGUAUAAACAUAGCCUUAUAAAAACUUCAUAAAAGCAUUGUGUUUAUAAUGAGAAUACAUAUCACUCCAACACAAUAUUCUUCGAGCACUGGGCCUCUAUCAAACGAGCACCCUCGAGAACCUCCUCGAAAUAAUGCUCGGCAGCCACUCGGCCUAUGGCCGAACCCUGCACCGCAACAGUGGUAGCAUCCGUCUCCGCCCAGUAUGCUUUAACACGGGCAAGGGCCAUCCGCGAGCCUUCUAUGCACGCCGACCUCUUCAUCACAUUAAUGCGCGGCACCGCACCAAGGAACUGCUGCACUAAGUUGAAAUAGCUGUUCGGCUUUGGCUUUUCCGGCCAUAGCAGAUCCACAACAUACCUCAUGGAGAGUCCGGACAACCUAUUCAGUUCGGCCCAUUCGGCUAGCUGGUCAGUCAAUGAAAGCGGAUGCUCUGGAAUGUGGAAUUGCGAGCAGAACAGCUUGUCCACUUCACGAUCUGUCUGACCUUGGAAGUACUUGGGCGCAUCGGCAGCGCUCGCCGCCAAAUCCAUAUACACAUCUGCUGAACUCCACAGCCGAUCCAGAGGGGCAUACCGUGGAUCUCCGAACUUCCUCUGUAACAUGAAGGGUUUCCCAACCGCAAUAUCCCCGGCUUCCCGCAGCUCCUCCUUCUUCGCUCUCAUAGCAGAAUAGGUGUCUUUGUCCGCCGCCAUGGCCUUCUCAAGGUCCGUUGCCUUCGCUCGGUUUUCUUUUUCAAGGACCCGGCAACGGUCGGCAGUGUCUUUUAAUUCUACGGCCAUCUUGGACAUCUUCUCUUGGCUCUCGCAAUGUGUGGCCUUCUUGGCUUUCGACUCUUUGGCCGCCUUCAAAGCAGCGGCAUUACUAAUCCUCGCUUGUUCCUUGGCUCGGGCAAGUUCUGCCCGCAAGGUUUCCACGGUGGCAGCUCCAUCUGCAGUCACAACAUAUUAAAGAUAUUGGCAUCAUGCUUCUCUUACUAUGUGGCGUUCACCAGAUAAUAACACUUACCAUGUGCCUCGUCAAGCCUCUUGUUAACAAGCUCGAUGUCGGCGUCUGCCGCAUCCAGUUGCCGUUUUUAUUUGGCAAACUCACUAGUCGGGCUAGCCACCGGAGCUUCCACCACCUGCACAUAGGGGCAGUCUGGUUAUUGCCUGGGAAUAUGAUCCUCUGUUCACCGUCGUUCUCGACGACAACCAGAGUCUCAGGGGCUACUAUCUACACAGGGCACGCCUAACAUGUGCAGUACUAUCACAUAUUAUCUCACAUACCUCAAAGCCUGUCGGUAGACUCAUAAAGGCUUCAUGUAAUCCGCUUUCGGCAGACGAGAUUCUCUCCAUCACCGUACCCAUCAGCAUACGGUGUUCUUCUGAGAUGGCCGCUCGCCCCACCAACUCCCUCAGAACGUCCGACCGCACACCAGACGGUGCCGGACUCUUCUGUCUGCUCUCUUCGGGAGCCGGACGCUGGGGACUUCGGGGGUCUAUGGGAUUAUCUUCUGGCCUCACCGGAUCCGGAGAGGCCCUCCGUGACGACACUUCGGGGUCGCCCGCUUCUUGAGAGGAGGAGUCCGGGGGAGGCGUUUCGCUCUCCAUCAUCUCUGGAAGAAGAUCCCCCGAAGACGAGCUCAUCUGAGAGGGGCUAAGGCCCGAACUGCAAGAUAUAUGCGGUGGUUAUUUUCUCAGAAAAAAGAUAGCAUACCUUUACUACUAAAGUAUUUUGGAUCACUUAUGACUCGUUGGAGGGCUGAACCCNNNNNNNNNNNNNNNNNNNNNNNNNNNNNNNNNNNNNNNNNNNNNNNNNNNNNNNNNNNNNNNNNNNNNNNNNNNNNNNNNNNNNNNNNNNNNNNNNNNNNNNNNNNNNNNNNNNNNNNNNNNNNNNNNNNNNNNNNNNNNNNNNNNNNNNNNNNNNNNNNNNNNNNNNNNNNNNNNNNNNNNNNNNNNNNNNNNNNNNNNNNNNNNNNNNNNNNNNNNNNNNNNNNNNNNNNNNNNNNNNNNNNNNNNNNNNNNNNNNNNNNNNNNNNNNNNNNNNNNNNNNNNNNNNNNNNNNNNNNNNNNNNNNNNNNNNNNNNNNNNNNNNNNNNNNNNNNNNNNNNNNNNNNNNNNNNNNNNNUCCCUCCCCCGGUUGUCCUCCUUCGUGGAGACGCUCAUUCCCUUGGUUGGAAUGGGCAGCGAUGGGGGCCCGCGUCCGCCCGUAUUAUCCCCCCCGGUAUCUUCCUUUGAGGGCUCCAGGCAAGGUGCGACCUCGAGCAUCUUUUCCAAUACCAGAUUUUCCAAACCCUUAGGGAGGGGGGCCAAACACCGAAUCAUCUUUGCCUUUGUUAGCCAGUCCUGGUCAAAAAGUGAACUCUCAGAAAUAACUUCACGACGGAUAAAAGACAGUGUGUUCGGCCAAAGGAUUUCUUACUUGUUCGGCGGCGCGGUUACUGCUCAGGCCCACGUCCUCGAUAAUAUUCGGACACUAUACUUGAGGUCCGAAGAAUGACUUAUACAUCUCCUCGUGCGUCAGGCCAAGGAAACUUUGAAUGGCACGCGGUCCCUCUGGGUUGAAGUCCCACAAGCGAAGGGGCCGGCGUUUGCAAGGCUGGACUUGACGAACCAGCAUAACUUGUAUUACCACAGCCAAAUUAAAAUCUCCCUCGAAGAGAUCUCGGAUGCGGCUUUGCAGUAUAGGCACGUCCUUGGCUGGACCCCAGCUCAGGCCUCUGCUAAUCCAUGACAUCAGUUGUGGUGGGGGGCCCGAGCGGAAAGCGGGGGCAGCCGCCCACUUGGCACUUCUGGGAGCCGUGACAUAAAACCACUCCCGUUGCCAUAAUUCGGACACCUCUGGAAAGGAACCUUUCAGCCACGGAGCUCCUGCCAUCUUGCCUAUUGAUGCACCUCCGCACGCUGCAUGUUGCCCCUCGAUCAUCUUCGGCUUUACUUCAAAGGUCUUGAGCCACAGUCCGAAGUGAGGGGUAAUGCGGAGGAAGGCCUCACACACGACAAUAAAUGUCGAGAUGUGGAGAAAGGAGUCCGGAGCUAGAUCGUGGAAAUCUAGCCCGUAAUAGAACAUUAAACCCCUGACGAAGGGAUCCAGAGUGAGGCCUAGACCUCGGAGGAAGCGGGAUAUGAACACGACGUUCUUGUUGGGUUCGGGAGUAGGGACGAUCUGCCCUCGAGCAGGCAGCCGGUGCGAAACCUCGGCGGUCAGGUAUCUGGCCUCCCUCAACUUGUUAAUGUCCUCUUCCGUAAUGGAGGAGGGCAUCCAUCGGCCUUGAAGACUGGAUCCAGACAUAACUGAAGAUCCGGAGCACCUAACCUGGGCUUUGGGUGUUAGAACUCGAGGCGGGGGAAGGGUUCGAUUGAGCACGGGAGGGAAAAAGUGAAAACCUUGUCCCUUUAUAAAGAGGGUGAAUAUCAAGCGUCCUCUCCGUAGCCGUUUAGGACUUGCCUAUAAUCUAGGAGUCCUAGACAUGGUUUGGUUACCCACGACCGCAUUAAUGAGAAUCCCGUAAUUGGGGGAACACGAUCUCCGCUUCAACAAGACGUGUCAAGAAAUCGCCUCGUGUUAUGUGUGGAGAAACGGUUCGAAUAAUCACCGGGCCAUGACAUCAUGCCAUGCUGCCAAAACAAGCCAGCAAAUUAGAUCUGCGAAAAUAUUAUUCUCUUUACGGUGGAAUGUGGAACUUAUUUUGCAGGGUCGGACACUAUCCUCGUAUUCAGAUUCUUCUGUGAUGUAUUCGGAGAAGGAACCCGCCUUGCAAUGCCGAAGACAAUACUGCACGCCGGACUCAUCGUCAUUGAAGCCUGGUUCAGGGGCUACUGCGGGAGUCCUGGAUUAGGGGGUCUCCGGAUAGCCGGAUUAUGUCCUUUAGCCGGACUGUUGGACUAUGAAGAUGCAAUAUUGAAGACUUCGUCUCGUGUCCGGAUGGGACUCUACUUGGCGUGGAAGGCAAGCUAGGCAAUACGGAUAUGGAUAUCUCCUCCUUUGUAACCGACCUUGUGUAACCCUAACCCUCUCCGGUGUCUAUAUAAACCAGAGAGUUUUAGUCCGUAGGACACAACAACUACAACAUACAAUCAUACCAUAGGCUAGCUUCUAGGGUUUAGCCUCUCUGAUCUCAUGGUAGAUCUACUCUUGUACUACCCAUAUCAUCAAUAUUAAUCAAGCAGGACGUAGGGUUUUACCUCCAUCGAGAGGGCCCGAACCUGGGUAAAACAUCGUCCCCUGCCUCCUGUUACCAUCCGGCCUAGACGCACAGUUCGGGACCCCCUACCCGAGAUCCGCCGGUUUUGACACCGACAGCCAUCAGUGCUGAGACAAGUCAGACUGACUAUGACGAUUCACGCAAGCACUCUCGUGAUUUUGGUUCUUCAUCCGGCUCUGGAUCUCAGAAGCGCCGGGUGUGAAUUCCAAGCACAGCGCUGCCACCCAGGUUCAUUCCGAGGCCAUCCUUUGAGGCGCCUCGCCCCAACCAGCAGUUUGCACCGCCUAAGCCCUAUGGUGGCCCCGCUGCUAAUGCUGCUCCACCGCCCAAUGUUGUGACAUGUUUCAAGUGUGGAGAGCUGGGUCACUAUAGUCAAGAGUGUCCCCGGAACAACAACCCUAACCAGUCUGGAAAGUCCGUUGGUCGUGGUAAGCCAGCGGGAAAGACAUUCUAUGCCAAGCCAGCCACCACUACACGUGGCCAUGUCAACUAUGUCUCAGCUGAGGAGGCUCAUGAUGAUCCUAACGUUGUCCUUGGUACGCUCCUUUUUAAUUGCCAUCCGACAUCUGUUCUUUUCGAUACAGGAGCAUCUCAUUCAUUCAUAUCUGAGAGCUAUGCUCGAUUGCAUAACACGACAUUCUGUGACAUGCCCACUUCCAUGGUAAUUCAAACUCCGGGUUCCAAAUGGCAAACCUCUAGAGUAAGCCAUGGGAAUGAAAUUCUUGUCGAUAGACUUGUCUUCCUUGCAUCCUUAAUAGCUCUCAAGUCCUCGGACAUAAACAUCAUCUUGGGUAUGGACUGGAUGUCAACUCAUUAUGCUAAGAUUGAUUGUGCCAUUAGAACCGUUCAACUUACUCACCCAUCGGGCAAGACAGUCAAUGUCUUAACUCGAGUGGCCAAGCGCCAGCUUUACUCCCUAAAUGCCAACCCCCUUCCAGACCUUGAAGAUAUUUCGGUAGUCCGAGACUUCCCAGAUGUCUUUCCAAAAGAACUUCCAGGUGUUCCACCUGACAGGGGUGUCGAGUUCGUGAUAGACCUUGUUCCAGGAACCGUCCCAAUUUCUAGAAGACCCUAUAAGAUGGCACCCUUAGAACUAGCCGAGCUUAAGAAUCAACUCGAUGAGUCCUUGAAAAAGGGUUUCAUCCGUCCUAGUUCCUCUCCUUGGGCUUGCCCCGUCCUCUUCGUCAAGAAGAAGGAUGGAACGGAUCGGAUGGUUGUAGAUUACCGACCUGUCAACUUGGUCACUAUCAAGAACAAGUAUCCGCUUCCCAGGAUCAACGAUCUGCAUGAUCAGCUCGCUGGAUCCUCAGUCUUCUCCAAAAUGGAUUUGACGUUGGGCUACCAUCAAAUCAAAAUCAAAAACAGGGACAUUCCCAAAACGGCCUUUGUUACUCGUUAUGUCCAAUACGAGUACACCAUUAUGUCCUUCGAUUUAACCAAUGCCCCAGCCACCUUCUCUCGCUUAAUGAACUCGGUCUUCAUGGAGUAUUUGGAUAAAUUCGUCGUGGUAUACCUCGAUGAUAUACUCAUCUACUCAAAGAGUGAGGAAGAACAUGCCAAACAUCUAAGGAUGGUAUUGACAAACUUCGAGAGCAUUGCCUUUAUGCCAAAUUCUCCAAGUGUGAAUUUUGGUUGCCAGAAGUGACCUAUCUAGGCCAUGUAAUCUCUAGUAAGGGUAUUGAUGUCAAUCCCGAGCGAGUUCAAGCCGUCCUUGAUUGGACUCCACCUGAGACGGUCAAGCAAGUUUGGAGCUUCCUUGGCUUAGCGAGCUAUUGCCGCCGCUUCGUCGAGAAUUUCUCCAAGGUUGCUAAACCUCUAACUGAACUCCUCAAGAAAGAUAAAAAGUUCGAGUGGACCCCACAGUGCGAGUUCAGCUUUCAGGAACUGAAAAGACGCCUGACAUCUGCUCCCGUACUGGUACCACCAGAUUUCUCCAAGGACUUUAUUAUCUAUUGCGACGCCUCACGACAAGGACUAGGUUGCAUACUCAUGCAAGAUCGAUAGGUAAUUGCCUAUGCUUCACGGCAAUUACACCCCCAUGAGGAAAAUUAUCCCACACAUGAUCUAGAGCUUGCAGCUGUAGUCCAUGCACUUAAAACUUGGCGACAUUACCUUCUCGGUAAUCGUUGCGAGAUCUUCACCGAUCACCAAAGUUUGAAAUAUAUCUUCACCCAACUGGAUUUGAAUCUCAGGCAAAAAUGUUGGGUCGAGUUGAUCUCGGAUUACGACCUAGGAAUAACUUACACCCCGGGCAAAGCCAAUGUCAUGGCUAAUGCGCUAAGUCGUAAAUCUUAUUGUAACAACCUGAUGUUACAACAAAGUCAACCACUUCUCCAUGAGGAAUUUCCUAAGCUUAACCUUCACAUAGUUCCUCGAGGAUUCCUAUCCACCCUGGUGGCGAAGCCUAACCUUACAGAUCAAAUUAUAGCUGCCCAGAAGCGUGAUAUGGGCAUAUCCCGGAUUAAGGAAAACAUCACUAGCGGAGUUGCUAAAUGUUUUUCCAUGGAUAAGCGAGGUGUUGUCUUCUUCGAGAACCGCUUGGUGGUUCCCAAGAAACAACAUCUAUGUCAGUUGAUUCUUAAGGAAGCUCAUCAAUCCCCACUCACCAUUCAUCCCAGUAGUACUAAAAUGUAUCAAGACCUACGCUAGAGGUUUUGGUGGAGUAGGAUGAAGAGAGAAAUUUCUCAAUACAUUGCUAGUUGCGACGUCUAUCGUCGUGUUAAAGCAGAGCAUCAACGGCCUGCUGGCACCCUUCAACCUUUGGCUAUUCCUGAAUGGAAAUGCGAUAAAAUCAGUAUGGAUUUCAUUACCGGGUUUCCCAGGACCAAGAGAGGGAAUAAUGCUAUCUUCGUUGUUGUCGAUCGUCUUUCCAAAGUAGCCCACUUCCUACAUGUUCGUGAGAGUAUUACCGCUAGCCAGCUAGCUGACUUAUACACCUCCCGAAUAGUGUCUCUUCAUGGUGUCCCAUUGGAAAUUAACUCAGACCGUGGGAGUCUCUUCACCUCUCGAUUUUGGGAGAGUUUCCAAAAUGCUAUGGGAACUCGUCUCUCCUUUAGCACCGCCUUCCACCCCCAAUCAAGUGGUCAAGUAGAGCGAGUCAAUCAAAUUAUAGAGGAUGUGCUCCGAGCUUCUGUCAUCUCAUUCGGAAUGGAUUGGGAGAAAUGCCUUCCAUUCGCGGAGUUCGCUUAUAACAAUAGUUAUCAAGCCAGCUUGGGCAAAGCUCCUUUCGAAGUUCUCUAUGGACGAAAAUGUCGAGCCUCUUAACUGGUCAGAAACCGGGGAAAGACAACUCUUUGGCCUAGAUAUGAUUCAGGAAGCAGAAGAGUAGGUUCGCGUUAUUCGUGAGAAAAUGAAAACAUCCCAAUCUCGUCAAAAGGGCCAAUAUGACCGCAAACAUAAGCUCAUGACUUAUGAAGUCGGCGAGAAGGAUUACCUUCGGGUUACUCCUUUAAAGGGAACCCAUCGUUUCGGUAUCAAAGGCAAGUUGGCUCCUCGUUACAUUGGACCCUUUCGCAUUCUUGCCAAACGAGGAGAAGUUGCCUACCAAUUGGAACUACCUCCGCAUCUUUCCUGAGUUCACGAUGUCUUCCACGUUUCUCAACUCAGGCGUUGCUUCGCGGAUCCUAUCCAUGGGGUGGACCACGAAACACUUGAUCUCCAAGAUAAUCUCACAUACCGGGAAUAUCCCGUUCGUAUCCUUGAUCAAGACGAGCGUACCACUCGACGCCAUAACAUCAAGUUUCUCAAGGUUCAAUGGUCACACCAUUCCGAGAAAGAAGCCACUUGGGAAAGGGAGGAUCGACUUCGACUUGAGUACCCCACCUUCUUCCCAACGGAUCCUAAAUCUCGGGACGAGAUUCUUUUGAGUGGGGGUGAGUUGUCACACCCUAGCUAGUUCAUGCAUUAGAGUGUUGCAUCAUGUCUACUCUUCCAGAAAACUGAAAUGGGGAUGACAGAACCCCCAGCACCCCCUGGAGACAACUAGGGUUUACUAAAAUCUUUUUCAAUGAACCUUAAAUGCCCUUCUAACAUGUUCAUCAUCUUUGCCUUGGUCUAGAACCUUUGACAAAAAUGGUGCACACUUUUCUAGGACAUCACAAGGUCAUUGGAUUAAACCAUAUGCUAUUUGCAUUUGGACAUUUAAAUGCUACUAAAUAUUUUAAAUGUCCAAAUAAUCCCAAACUGAAAUGUUCCAUGUUGAAUAUGUUCUAAACAGUGGGCAUGUGCAGUUUGGUGAUUUUUGGAAAUGCCUAAGUAUUUUUAGAAAAACCACAAACUUGCAGAAAUAAAGAAAACAAAAAAAUAAAAGGGAAACAAACUUACCUGGCAAAGCCACCAGCCAGCCCACCUGGCGGCCCAGCAUUGUGCUGGCCCGUGCCAGCCAGUUGCUUCGUCCCCGCCAGGCAGGCAGGGAGGUGACGCCGGCGUGCGUGAGCUCGCCAGCGCGUCAGCUACUUGCCGCCCUCGCCCCUGGACACCUGGGCGAGCUCCACGUCGUCGCCCUGACCGGCAGACACCUCGCUCACUCCACUGCCUCUCUCCCUCGCCCUCUCCCACCAUGGCCGACGCUGCCGCGCCCGCGCCACCGUGAUAACUGCGUCCGUCGUCGUCCUCGUGCCGCGUCCCCGUGUCCGUUCGCUCCGCCGUCGUCGACUACAUCGAGCAGGCCGAGCCCCGAGCGCUUGCCCGCUCUGGAGUCGCCCCCGACCCCAUCUCCCCCAACUCCGGCCGCCAAGAACGCCAUCGUCACCACGCUCAGCUCCGGCCUUCCCCGAGCCCGCUUCGAUGCUUGCUGCAACCGCCAUGACCUCUGCUCCGUCCUCCCCCUCUCCGUUAACCCCCUCCUGCAUUGUAUGCACCGCACCAUGUUCACCCACACCCGCCGCCGCCGAGCUCGUCGCCGACGUGACUCCGGCCACCCACCGGCCACACCACCGUGAUCAACGCACUCACCGCACUCGCAGAAGCCCAUAGCACCUCUCCACGCACCUCGCCAUGCCCUGUAGCCUCGGGUUCGACCUCACCCAAGCUCCGGCAGCCGGACAGCUCAUCGCUGGUGACGUUUCCGUCCACCCCACUGCCACCACUCGACGCGGCUCACUCCCCGCAUCACGUAGAUGUGCUUCGCCGUUGUUUGGUCGCCGGAGCAUGAAACUCGCACCGCUCUGCCGCGUCUGGCCUUGCCGGCGGCUAAACGCCGGCAAGUUUGACCCUGGUUACCCCCGUGUGGGCCCAGGUUGACUCCCCCUAAGUCUAUGACAAGUGGAACCGCUCUCCUAAUUAACUUAGAUUAGCAGUAACUAAAUUUAGUUAGUUAAUUAACUACUGACACGCGGGUCCCACUGGUCAGGUUUGACCUAGACCGGCCCUGUUGACCACUGACGUCACCCUGACGCAAUAAUUCAAUUACUGGAAUUAUUCUUAUACAGGAAAUUCCAGAAAAUAUUACAAACUUCAAAAAUUCAUAACUUUUAAUCUGUAACUCCAAAUGCAAAGAUUUAUAUAUGAAAUUUGAUUAGAAAAAUUCAAUCUUUCCAUAUGUAAUGGUUUCAUGCAUGACAAAACACUUUAACCCUGCUGUUUAGGUGAAACAAGCUAAUGCACUUAUAUGGCUUAAGAACAUAAGCUUCCAUUUGAAUCCUUGAUUCAAAUGGACUCAAACCAACUUGUUUCACAAUGCAUUAGCCAGGACACCUCAUAUUUCCAUGUCAUAGCAUGCAUCAUAUUGUUACAUAUUGCCAUGUGAUGAUUGUGUUCUGUGGUGUCUUUCGUGGUAGGUUCUGCCUCCGAGGAUAUUUCCGAGUAUCCAACUGAAGGGCGGUACCCUACUACUACUCCAUCAGGCAAGCAGCCCCAUUGAUCAUAUCGAUACAAUCCCAUGUUCACGCUCCUACUCUCAUUUACUGCAUUAAGACAACAAUGUUUCAAACUGUUGUGUGCUGCGGUAGUUGAACCCUUAUCCUCUGCAUGACCUGUCAUUGCCAUAGUAACUAGAUGAAACCCACUAGCAUGUGUAGGAGUUGAUUGAGCCAUGUAUGUGUUUCCUACCUUGCUAUGCCUGCUAUGCUUAGAGUUGUGUCAGGUCUGGUUCAUCUGGGUGAUGGGCUAGAGUGAAAUGAUUACGUCGGUAAUGUGAGGGAUGUGUUGAACAUGAUUUGGUAAAGUUAUCGAUGAGAGGCCAUGUAGGAGUACAUGGUGGGUUGUUUCAUUGAGACCGUCCCUAAGAACUGAGAUCUGUAUGUGUGAUUUAAGAUUCAGCUACUACCACACAUUGGGCCCUGAAAUAUGACCCCGCUCGACUUACUGACCCCUCUCAUCCUUUGUCUAGGAGUUGCAACUAGUUUCUGGUGUUUAUAGGUUAUGUGUUGGCGGCCGUGCGUAGCGCUGACCCCAGGGGUGGGCUAUGAUGCGGUAGAUACACCGUGGCACGGUGUACCGAGUCACCCGUUUGGUGUCUCGAGAACCCUGCACACAUCGUUUGGGGCCGUUGAGGACACCCCGGCCAGAUUUCCUUGCGGAUGGCACCCGAAUAGGCGAUAAACCUAGACUAGAGACUUGUGUGGUUAGUCAGGUCGUGGUCUACACCCACGUCGGCUUUCGCUUGAAGUCUGCCGAGCACAUGUCGUGUGCUAAUGCUAAGUGGUGGAAACAUGUGUGACGAAGUACACCCCUGCAGAGUAUAAAACUAUUCGAAUAGCCGCGUUCGCGGUAAAGGACUACUUGGUGGCCUAUACAGUUCAUAGACAAGUUAAUGGUUACUACUAAAAGACUCAAGAUAAGUGUGAGUACCGAGGAUGGCCCUCUCGUAGGAUGACGAGGGAGGAUCCACGGUGGAGUAUUGUGUUGGUGAUUAGUGGACUCGUGUGCGAAAACUAUUUUACUAGUGGUGUCUCGUAGGAUAGCUUAGCCAAGAGUCAAAGCUGGCUUGCUGCAUUAACCCCACCACCUUCUUGAGAAUGAGCAUGUAUAGUAGGAUCUGUUGUAAGACUUGUUGAGUACCUUUGUACUCAUGUUGCUUUAAUUACUGUUUUCAUACGACAACACCGCCCCCUCCGAUGGGUUUUACGUAGACCUCGACGUCGAUGAGUAACUUGCCACCCAGGUGGUGAUUCUGGCCAUGGAGGGCCCUAUGUAGAUAGACAGGCUUCGUCAAGCCUUCUUUCUUUCUAGUGUCUGUACUCAGACUUAUUUGCUUCCGCAUGUGCUUGUAUGCUUGUAUGACUUGAGUGUCACGUCAUGUGACCCCUACCUGUAUGAACAUGUUAUGUAUGGCUCUCUGCAGCCUUUAAAUAAAGUACUUGAGUUGUAGAGUUUUGUUGUGAUGCCAUGUUGUAUUUACACAUAUCGAGCAUAUCGUGUGUAUGAUUGAAAUGUUUGGUAUGUGUGGGAUCCGACAAUCUAGUUGUUUAUCCUUGGCAGCCUCUCUUAUGGGGAAAUGUAGUCUAGUGCCUCCUUGAGCCAUAGUAGUCCGCUACAGCCCGGUUCACGGGAGUCCUGCUAGCCCAGCACUACUGCUCAGGACACUUGACUGGCCGGCAUGUGUUUCACUUCGUUCCUGUGUCUGUCCCUUCGGGGAAAUGUCACGCGGUGACAUCUGGAGUCCUGUUAGCCCAGUGCUACAGCCCGAAUUCACAUGCUGUUGACCGACAUGCUCGAUGUGAUUCAUGUAUGCCUGUCCCCAUAGGUUUGUGCCGCUUUGGGUUCACGACUAGCCAUGUUGGCCCGGGUUCUCUGUCAUAUGGAUGCUAGCGACACUAUCAUAUACAUGAGCCAAAAGGCGCAAAUGGUCUCGGGCCAUGGUAAGGCGACACCCGUGGGAAUACCGUGCGUGAGGCCGCAAAGUGAUAUGAGGUGUUACCGGCUAGAUCGAUGUGACUUGGAAUCGGGGUCCUGACACCUACCCUCAUUGCUUCGGGAGAAACCCUAGGCCCGAGGUCUCAGACCAGGACAAUGACGGCAUCUUGAUGCCAUGUUCCCUCUUGGGGCACUGUCCUGGAAUUGGAUCUAGCUGGAGAGACCCGUGGCUUGCAUAGUGGUCAUCGGUGUCGCUCGGGUGGCAGCAGUUAUGUGGGUGUGCGGCGAUGGGGCUGCAGUGAGGUUGUGGUAGUCGUCUCUGCGACGUGUCCGCUUGCCCAUCGUGGUCCAUUUGCUGUGGUGGAGUUGAAGAUGCACGAUGGAUCCUUGUGGCAAUGAUGACAAGCGGUGGAUGUCCCUUCUCGAUGAUCCUUCACGGCGCUACCUUGCAUAGUGCUCCAUUGCUUGUAUAUUCUUAGAUCCGAUGUUGCCUUGUUACAGGCGAGUGUGUUCUUCAUUUGACAGAAUCUUCACGUGGCCUCUUCUGCCUCUACAAUGUGUGCCCUGUCGUUUGAUGCUUGCGGGGAAGUCGUAGGAUCUUAUGUGAGGAGAAGUGGUGACGAUGACGCCAAGGUGCGACCUCGUCAAUGUUUUCUUGGUAGUGGUUUGUGAGGUUUUGCGAGUUGUGUGGUUUUUCACCUGGUUUUCCUCUAAUUAACCGGGCAACUAUCUUCUUCUUAGUCAAUAAAAAUGGAAAGUCUUUGCCUCGUUUCAAAAAGAAGAUCCGUAAGUGAAGCAAUUUCGUUGUGAGAAUUAUGAGUUGGGAGGCGUGCAACUAAUGAAUGCUUAUGACGCCUGCAUAAAGGCGAAGAUAUCAAAUCAAAAGCUGACUAUAGAAGAGCACCGCAUGUGCUAAACUAGUAGAAGUGCACACAAGCGGUGCAAUGCGGUGGAUCGGGAGGGCACCUUUAUGUGUGCACAACUUCUCAACUCAUAAAUAUCGGUCUCUCCCGAACCUCUUAAUUAGUUGCAAUUCCUAACAACAAUGAACGGAUAUCGUCUCUACAUCCAGAGAGUAGGAAACGUCUGUUGCCUCUAUACAAUUUGCAUAGGCUUGAUAGGGCAUCGGGAGCUAUUUUAUGACUAGGUGACCAUGUUUUGGGAUCAAUUUAUCUUGUAUAUCCUCUCGCUUCUAUCAAUGUGGCAUUGUAGUCCUGCAGCCUCGAAGACAAGUGCAGGCACCGCAACCUGUUGCCUGAUCACUCUCUGACCUAAGGUACCCACAUCCAAAGAAUAAUAUAACUCUGAAGUUACAGAGAAGUCGAUGUAUUUCCCCUAGGUCAAAGUAGAAUAAAUAGGUGGAUUUUUCAGCGCAAACCUAAUUACUAAUAGGUUGUAAUGGAUCAUGUAGUUCUAUGUUUAAUCUCCAUAUAUAAGUCAAAUGUCUAAUGUUGGAACAACAAACUAGUUUUCCAUGUUUAAUUACCUCCUUGUUAGUCUUUUUCCAAAAAAAACAUUUCCAAGUUCGGGUAUGAUCAUGUGAACAUUUUUUUUGAAGGACCAGCGAAGGCUGGUGUUUCAUUGAUCAUAAGCAGGGAGCAGAUGACAAAGCGAUAAGGUGGAGAUCCGAAGAUCAAGGAAAAUAAGGAAGAAGAAGAACAGAGAGAAAAGAAAUCAAGGUGCCACCAGGCACAGGCCACUAGUCUACUCUCCCGGCGGGUCCCCGAAAGGGCUCUGAAUUGACUUGAUGCCGGCUUGUUGCCAGAGGCUUAGCUCUCUCCUGAUCUCGUUGAGAGUGUCUUCCACCUUGGCCUCUUUUGCCCUAAAUAUACAGUGAUUCCUCUCUUGCCAGAUCUUCCAAAGGACAAGCAUUGCGAGAGACCUGAUCGCUUUCCUGUGGGAUGGAGGCGUUGCAUCUGACAUAGCCUUGAACUUGUCAAGAGAGGUUGCGUUGCUGAUCCAGGAUUCCUGGCCUAGUGCACGACAGCACUUCCAUGCAGCAAUAGCAUUCCAGGUUGCCGCCGUGAGGGGGCAAAGCCAGAACAAAUGCUCGGAGUUUUCCAGGUUUCGGAGGCAUAACUGACAGAAGUAGUUGUUCAGCCAUCCUUGCCGCUGCAACCUAUCAUUGCACCAGAGCCGGUUUUGGUGGAGCAGUCAGGCAAAGAUCUUCAGCUUUGCAGGCGCGCGGGUGUUCCAUAUCAGCUCGCGACACUGAGUCUGCACAGAGCCUUGGAACUGGGUGCGGUAGGCAGAGUGAGUCGUGUACUGACCGGAUGCUUCAAUCUUCCAGGCGAUUUGGUCUUGGUUGGCUUCCUAGAGAUGGUACGAUUGCAGCCGGCGGUGUAAGUUGAGCAUGUCAUGUGCUAUAGAACUGACGUCGCCGUGCGCUAGGUCAGAAACCCAGUGGUCUUCAAGAAGUGUCUGCGCCACCGAUCUGUUCUUUCUUUUGGAGUGUUUGAAGAGGUUGGGGUGGAGGAUCUUCAGCGGAAGCGCAUCGAUCCAAGCCGUGUGCCAGAAGCUAGCCAUCUUGCCAUUGCCUAUAGUCACCUUUGUUGCCGCACUAAAGAGGGCGUGAUCGGAGGCAUCGCAUGGCAGUUCUGUUCCUGCCCAUGGGCGCUCCGGGCUUUUCCAGGUGUGCCAGAGCCAGCGAAGGCGGAGAGCACGGCUGAACUUGGACAGGUCGAGGAUGCCAAGGCCUCCGUGCUCGAUCGGGGAGCAGACCCGAGCCCAGUUCACUUUGCAGCUGCCGCCGGUGAGCUCCUGAUCGUGUCCCUAGAGGAAGCGACGUCUGCAUUUGUCUAUUUCUUUCAGCAGCUUCACUGGGAUUUUGAGGGCCGUAAGGGCAAACAUUGGCAUGGUGGUGAGGAAGCAUCUGACGAGGACUCUGCGCCUGGCCAUGGAGAGCAUUUUCCCUUUCCAGCCCGCUAAUCUAGCCCGAAUUCUAUCUAGUAUGAAGUGAAGAUGCACUAGCCUAAGCCGGCCAAUUGUGAGUGGAAGCCCCAGGUAUCUGGUCGAGAAUUGCGCGAUCGGACCCCCAAAAGACUGGAGCAUCGUGCUAACGUCGACGUCGUAACAGCAAAUCGGAGAUGCCGUAGACUUGGUGUUGUUUAUCUUCAGGCCCGUAGCAUCGCCGAAGCUCUCAAGCAUAUCCAUAAGGUAGUCAAUCUCCUCUCUAAUGGGGUUCGCGAAGAUGAUGACAUCGUCUGCAUAUAAGCUAACCCUAAAUUUGAUCUCCCUGCCUGGCACUGGCGUAAUAUGUAGUUCUUCUUCAGCCGCUUUGAGGAGGCGAUGGAUGGGAUCGAUCGCAAGGAUGAACAGGAGCGGCGAUAGGGGGUCGCCCUGCCGUAGGCCGCGACGGCGCAUGAUGGAUUUUCCAUGGACGCCAUUGAGGAGGAAGGCCAACGAUGAGGUGGCGAGCAGCAUGGUGAUCCAAUCCCGCCAUCUCGCACUAAAACCUAGGUUCACCAUGAGCUCAAGCAGAUAUUCCCACGAAACGUUAUCGAAGGCCCUGGAGAUGUCUAACUUGAGGAGCACGGCCGGCGUCUUUUUCCGGUGCAGAGCUUUCACACAAUUUUGGACGUAGACAAAACUGUCAUGAAGACAUCUUGUUUUCAAAAAAGUUGUCUGGGCCGGCGAUAUGAUGCGUUGGACGAUUGGGGCGAGCCUGAUCGACAGCACUUUGGAGACUAGCUUAGCGAUAGAGUGAAUCAGGCUAAUCGGACGGUAGUGGUUGAUGUCGUUCGCGUCGUCUUUCUUGGGGAUUAGGGCUACGAUUGCAGAGUUGAGAAAGCCAAAAUUGUUGCCCGCCAGGUUGUAGAAUUGAUUGAAGGCCUGCAUGACGUCUACUUUGAUAAUCUGCCAGCACGAUCGGAAGAAUGUGCCGUUGAAGCCAUCUGGCCCGGGGGAUUUCUCUGCCGGAGAUGCCUGAAUCGCCGCCCACACCUCUUCUUCAGAAAAGGGGUUAUCCAGCCCACCACCUUGGAUUGUGGGCAUGUGGAUUUGGCCCCAGUUAAUCGUAGACGAGCGCUGUUUUGUAGCCCCCAGGAUGUUGUCGUAGUGGUUGUGAAUUGCUGCUUCUUUGUCGCUGUGCGCCGUGACUACUGUAUCAUUGACCUUCAGAGAGUGAAUGAAGUUGUUUCUCUUCCGCGAGCAGAUUUUUGCCAUGAAGAACUUUGUUCGGGCGUCGCCGGAGCGUAGCCAGGUGAGCCUGGAGGCCUGCCUCUUCCUGCAUCCCUCGAUCGCUGCCAGCCCCAGCAAUCUGAGCUUGAGGCUCCUGCGCAGGUCGCGUUCGGCCGACGAGAGCUGGCGCCUUUCCUGGGCCUCGUCGAGGCACAAGAUGACCUCGGAGGCCAUAUGGAAUUGCAGCUUUGCAUCACCGAAGAGGCCCUGGCUCCAAAUCCGUAGGUCUUUGGCCGUACGAGCAAGCUUGACGUGAAGGCGGGUGAAUGCGCACGAGGCAGCCACUGGCCGCGCCCAGGUCGCGGUCACCGUCUCCGUGAAGCGCGGGAAGCGCGGCCAGAAGGACUCGAACUUGAAGCAUUUGCGCCAGCGGGGUCCCGCCGCAUCGGACAGCACCAGCGGGCAAUGGUCGGAGCAGGCAAUGGGGGCGGCCAUGAGCAUGGUUAGGGGAAAAAGGGUUUCCCAUGGUACGUUGUAGAAGAAUUUGUCGAUGCCCACUAAGGUUGGAUUGUCGCGCUCGUUGCUCCAGGUGUACCUACGGUUGCUGCAUUUGAGUUGCCGAAGACCCGCUCUGUCAAUGGCCGCCCUGAAGCGGCCCAUCAGCCUUCUGUUGAGGUUGAGGUUGUUCUUCUCCCUUGCCUCGUAGAUUUGUUUGAAAUCACCGCAGAUUAUCCAAGGUUCAGACAUGGGCGGGGCCGUGCUCAAGAUCUCAGCGAGAAAAACCUCUUUGAUUACGUCGUCGUUUGGUCCGUAGACCGUGGUUAGCCAACAGGGUGUGUGGCCUCUAGCUACGGUGACCCUGAUCGUGACAGCAAAUUGGCCAACAGCAUGGGUGACGACAUCUACAAGAUCUUUGUUCCAUAGGAUGGCAAUGCCACCGCGCGUGCCGAUGGAGGGCAUUACGGCGCAGCCCUGCAGUGUUUGUCCACCAAUUUCACGGACGAGGGCUGGCGACCAAACGUCUAUCUUGGUCUCUUGCAAGCACAGAAUGGCGGUCCGGUGAGCAGCAACUACUUCUCUAACUGCUUCUCUCUUCGCCGGCGAAUUCAAACCACGUACGUUCCAGCUCAUGAUCGGGGGGGAGUGAAGUUCGUCAUUCAUCGGGACACUGAUGGUUUUCUCCGGCGACUACAAACACUAAAGGCGAAUAGGUACACCAUCCAGCUCUCCGGGGGACGCCGUCGACCACCAAUAGGCCCCAAACCACGACGGCGACGGACCGGCCUCAGCCUUGCACUGUUACAUGAAAGAAGCAAACCUAACUCCGACCAGCCGAGUGCUGGCCAUCGCCGGAAACUACUGCUACAGCUACAACACAGAUUGGUUCCUAACAUAACUAAACCAUGGCCUCCUCGGUGACUCCUUCCGGCCCGUUGAGGCCAGCAGCGAUACGCAGAGCGUCCUUGCCCAGCCUGGUGAGCUUGGCGAUGACGGCGAUAUCUUCGUCGGACAGAGGCUCAUCGAACCUGCGCACGAGCGCCUCCGCAGCCUUCUUCAUCAUCUUCUCUUUCGGGCCAAGGAGGCCGAGCCCCUGGACCAGGCGGAGCGAGCCGCGCUGCGCCACGGGCACCUUGCAGUUCUAGGCCACCUAACGCACGCUCUGACACGGCGGGGGAACUGACGUAGCUCGGACCUUGGGUGGAGCAGAGCUAUGCUUGGAUGGCGGUUGGGCGAGCAGGGGGUCGGCUUGUCGCAGAAGAGGCGUCGCGGUGCAGCAGAUGAUUCUGCAAUCUCCAGGUGUUGAACUUGUUGCGUCACCUCGCCCAGCUGGACGGCAACCGUGGCCACGGUCGUGGGCAUCUGGCAGCUGAGGAGGGCCGGGUUGUGGCAUGCUCCAGAGAGCGUGGGGCUGAAUGCGUUCGGCAUCUCCACUGCUUCUAUGCCCCUCCUCUUGCUUGCGCCCUCAUCGAAGUCAAGGGGCACGGCCGUCGAUGCCGCGAUCAUCUCGUCGAGCUGGGCCGCGACGACGUCCCCGGAGAGCAGGGGCGGGGAUGGCCUUGUCAGUCGUGGCAAAGAACUCGUCGACGCCGUCGGGGGCAGGUGCACGUGCGGGAGGAGUAGGCGUGGGCACGUGCACCUGACUUGCCAGUCGCUGGCUGCCGCUCUUCUUCUUGUUUGGGUAUGCCUUGCCGGACGAACGGUCACGGCCGCCAUACUGGUCAUGGUUUCUUGAGCUUCCAGGGCGGCGGGUGGGGGUGGGGGGAGCGGCUGCGCCGGUGCACUCUGCCGGUGGCCCCAUCCGCUCCUGACGAGGCGUUGGAGCCGCACCCGCGCCCAAGCAGCGCGUCCUUCCAGGAGCGCCGGCCACCGCCACCGCCGUCUCCCGUCCCCUCAUCGUCACGACGGGGGCCACCACGGGGAAGGCCACGGCAGCCCGUGUCCACCACCGGCGCGCGCUGCAGGCGACGAUGGCGCUCCUCCAUCUUGUCGUCCUCCACAUGCAUGACCCAAGUGCCCGUGUAGGUGCGUGGCAAGCUGUCGUCGUGGUCGGAGUCGGAGGAGGGCAGGCCGCUUUGAGCUGAGUGGGAGGAGCGAGGAGAGCAGGGGGACCAAUCCUCCACCCUGUCGACAUGGAUGAGGAGGUCGUAGCGCUCGGCGCCGGGCGGCAGGGCGACACGCCGAUCGGGCGGCGAGUGGCCCUCCAUCUCUUCGACCCGGUCGGCGCCCUGAGGUAGCUUCUAGUAGGUGUGCCGGGUGGGGAUGAACGCCAUGUCCCAGACCCACACCCAGCAAGCGAAGCUUUUGGUGUGGUCGCGCUCCAGCGUGCGGCUGUCAAGCCUGUCGAUGCGCACCUUGUCUCCGAACACCUCGUGGACGCCCUCCAGGGUCCGGUACUGCUGAGGCAGAUGCUCGAUGACGCAACGGACAUGGAGGUUGAAGAUGCCAUGGCCAGCAUGGUCGUUUUCGCCCCAGGGCGCGAUGUUGAAGUUGACGCCGUCGACGCGCAGGGAGCCGCGGCGCACCGCGUUGUCAUGGUGGGCAGCCUGGGUGAAGAUGACGAAGAAGUCUUCUGGGUUGUGCGCCGUCUCCCGCAAGUGGUGCGGUGGGACGCACAGCUGUGCCUCAAAAGCGCGGCCCACCGCCAUGGGCGAGGUGGCGUAGAUUCCGUCGGCCGCGCGCAGCGUGACAGUGUGGCGUCGAAGGAAGAAGAUGCUCUGCUCGAUGGCUGGGGUGGACUCGCCGACCUUGUGGCUUGCGCGGGGACGCCUGGCCGGGUCGACCAGGCUGAGCUCAGCCAUGCCGGCAGUCGUCGGGGAUGGAGGUACCAGCGGUGGUGGAGGUGGGGUGGGGAAACGAAGGCGAGAGUGGACCGAGGAGCGAGGAGGGAGCGGACCUAACCUAUUGGAGGCAGGACCGCCAUGGCCGUUUCGUGGAUUUUGGGGGCACUCUCUGGCAAAAUGGCCGCAGAGCUCACAGAUCACGCAGCGGAGAGGGUCGCGGCAGUCCUUUCUACGGUGGUGCUUGCUGAGGCAGCGAAAACAGCGGCCGCGGAAACGUCUUAAGAAAGCCUCUCGGCCACCCACCGCAUUGAAGUCCGGCCGCCGGUCCGAGCACAGAGUCGCGCUCUUCUUUGAAGGAACCGGCGAAUCCAGGGUUGCCUUGCGGCUUUUGCGCGAGGAAACCUCGGUCCGGUCACCGUCCAUUCCUGAAGGGGAAUGGUCGGCCAAUGGGGAUGGGACGACGACGAUGGAUUGAAGGCGUCGGGCUGCGGGGUGGGGGCUGAGAUCCAUCGGGUCUUCCGAGGUAGGCGCCAUAGAGCAGUCUCCCCGCAGCAGCAGGCGCGGCGGGGCCGCCGGAUCCGGCAUUGAAGACGCGUCAUGGCCCGGGAUCUCGGGCGGGGAUGGAGCAGGGGGCGCCGGGGAGACCCGCGGGUCGGUGCCAGGAGCAGGGUGGCCAUGCAGAUCGAAGGCGGAAGCGGGGCGGUGGGGCGGCGCGCCCAUGCUGGGCGCGGGGUGGUGGCCGCUGCGGCCGGAGCGGCCAGCGGCGCAGGGAGGGGAGGGUGGCUACCUAGCAGCAGGGAGUACUUGCGCUCCUCGGUCGACUGAUCUCCUCAUGUGAGCAUUUUUUCUGUUGAGAAAUAUAUUGGGUCUGUUUUGUGCAAGUUCUAGCAUGUUUAACUAGAAGAGUGAUUUGCUUUUCAUAAGACAACCAUUCAGGCUGAAACAGGGACUUGAAAGGAGAGAUGGAUCUGGAUGUACACCAUGAAACCGAGGACCUCCAACCAACUCAGCACAACAUGAUACAGUACCCUGGUUUCAACUACACUGUCAGGCUAGCCAUCAUGUGUCCAUUAUAUGCAAUAUGUUGGUUUAUGUUUGGGCGGUGUGCAACCAAUGAGUACCUAUGACAUGGAAAGUAUAUAUAGCUUUAUCACACAUAAAGGUGAAGAUAAAAUCAAUAUUGACGAGUACACAAGCCAUGCAAUGCGGUGGGCCAGCGAGGCACCCUUCAUGUCACCGGCCGGUUCCCAUCCGAACCGAUAAAUAUCGGCCUCUUCCGUGCCUCUCAGUUCCAAAUCCUAGCAACGGCGGAAGGUGAUUGUCCUUAUAUACACAAAGCAAAACGUGCAUAUCUAUAUGAUCAGUUUCAUAGGCUUGAAAUGCACCGGGGGAUGGAGUGGUGGCGUUGGGUUUUUUUACAGCAAUCGGUUGCGUAGACUUGGAAGGCACCGGGAAUUAUUUCACGGCAAGAAGAUCUUGGGACACCACAAGGCUUUUCACUCCAUCUUGUCCCUCGCGUAUACUCGGCAACUUUAUACCUUUGCGGUCCAGCAGCAGCGGGAAGCGAGUACGGGCUUCGCCUCAUGUCCUGUAGUUACUUUCUGGCAUGGGACACGCACAUCUGGACCUGAGGCUGGGAGCACAUGGAAGAGGAUGAUGAUAUGGAUAGGCUAUCUUACUUCCCUUUCUCUAGCCACAAGCAUUUCUGCGACCUGAGAAGCUUCCUUAGCCGUACUGGAUGGCCCUCUGGCUUCACUGGCUCAUAGUGCAGGGGAGCCAACCACACAAAGGGAUCAAGAGAUCACCUUCAUGCCUUCCACAUACGUUGGGUGAUGGAGUGCAGCCAACCAGCUGCUGUACAGAUCAGGCAAGAGGAUGCACGAACCAACCGUAUGCAACAUCUGUCACAGUAGGGGAUUGCUACCAGAUGCCAUCACCACUUUGUAAGAUGCUUCAUAUGACAAGCUUGGAAUAGUUAUAGCCACAUUUCAUAUUUCAUAUGACAUCUUGUAAGAACGGUUGGAGAACAAGGCACUUCACAGAUACUUAUUUCAUAUGACAGUUCAGAAAAUAGUUAUACACAAGUUAAAAGGAACACAACGAGCUGAUGGCAAACACUCUAUUUUUAUUGAAUUGAUGAUACUAUAUGCAUCAAACCGUUUGUAUGGGAGAAGGGGACGAUGAGCAAACUACAAGGACUAAAAGGGUGCAUCAAAGCAUGAACCACCCAUGGAGACAAUGAUCUUGGGGAGAGAAAGAAGCAUCGCAAGCACGACUAUCAGUUCAAUGUAAACAAAUACAAAAAACCAGUCCCCAAUUUGAUCAGGCUCGCCCCCUCCGCGAAUCAUCUAAGGGGGGCGAUAUGUAUCGAAUGUAAGACAACGCAAAUGGAAAAGGCAUUGUUUAUUACAGGCCUAAAAAUACCACUCACGCUCCGACGCAGGCAUCCUCCUCUCCCUCCGUUAUUCCAAGCUUCUGGGCACGAGACCUUCAAGUGUGGUGUUUGUUCUUUGCCAUCAACGAUGACAGAACCUCGACGAGUGUGCGAUCUUAC